AGGUCGAGGGGCGCGACGGAGACCUUGCUCUUGCUCGACUGCUGGACGGCCCUGCAGACAUGCCUCUGUUGCAGCGCGGCCUUGCCGUCGCACGCCAAUGCGGUGCCGAUCCAUGACUUGUUGCCGAAGCUGAGACUGUUGGUGCCCUGAAGCGUAACCAAAGGUGGAAAUUAGCAUAGUGUUGGUGCCCUGAAGCAUGACCAAAGGUGGAAAUUAGCAUAGUGUGCUGUGAGCACAGUCUGACAAGGCUGUGAGCUGAGGAUGCACAGGAUAGCAAAGCAAUCCUGAAGUACUAGUAUGACUGAAUGUAAUGCUACUACUAUGCGCGUCUGUUGGUAAGACAUAUAUAUCUCUGCAAUCCAGAUGUAUAGUAUUAGUAGUAAGAAGUAAGCCACUGUUGCAGCUAGCGCUAUCGAAUCUGCCUAAAACUGCUCCCUGCUCGAACCAAUCUGCCAAUUGUACUAGUACCAUCUAAGAGCGCAGUAACACACGAUUCAAUCACCAUCACCUUGAUUCCGGAGCUCCUGACGGCGCGGUCCGAGCCGGCGACGGGCGCGGAGAAAGCCACCUGCAGAGAGGGGUAAAAAAGAAAAAGUCAGCAGCCGCCGAGCAGGAGCCUGACGGGAUAUGGAUGCGGCGCGGACGUACCUGGGACGCAGCGGCGGUGGCCAUGGCCGACGGACGGAUGGUUCGAGGAAGGGGAGGGGGGGGAGNNNNNNNNNNNNNNNNNNNNNNNNNNNNAGGGGUUUUGAUCUGGGGGAAGGUGGGGGGAGUGGGGCGGCGGGUUUAUAGGGGUUGGAUCGGAGCCGGAGGAGCGAGCUCCUGAGCCCUUGAGGCGACGGAAGGGACGGCGACGUCCGCUGCUGCUGCUGGGGGUUGGUGACGGCGACGGCUACUCAGAUCAAAUCAUCGGCCGCUAAACUCGCUUAGCUUUUUCUGGAUCGUUGAUUUGUUAUUUAGAUUAUUAUAAAAUCGAUGGAGGUGUGAUUAGAUUAGGCAGGUCUCGCAGAGGGUGUUGCGUGGCUACUUGGCUUUGGCUGGCUGCUUCGACUUGGAGCGCCGCUUGAAAUGGCCUGGUGGCGGCGUCCAAGGGCCAUCUUGCCUCUAUCUCACUUGCCAAAGUCAGACGUGCAACCUGCCUCAGCGCUCGGGUCAGGUCAGGUGCACGCAUGAAUCCGCACAGCUGUGCUCGUGUGACUGCCUGCGUACCUCCUGCGUACCAGGGCCGGCCCGAAAAUCCCGGACCGGGUCGGGCCUAUUUGUCUCAUCGGGUCGGGUUCAGGUUGGAAAGUUUGAGUCUGAUGGUUAAUUCCGGUCGGGCUUGGGUCUAUGAAAAAUAAAAUUACGCCCCCGUCGGACCGGGCCUAGUCGGGCUUUUUCUGAUUCGGUCGGGCUUGGGCCUAAAAUUUAGGCUUGACGGCCGGGCCGGCCCGGGCUUGGGCCUGGGUUUUUAGCGUCGGGCUUUUUUUGACCCGGUCCGGCCUGAGUAAUGCCAGGUAUACUUUUGGCCGCCCUCAAAAACUAGUCCGUAGGGGAAUGGGGGACAGGGGAGUCACGGGGCAGAACCGCACGAGAAUGUUCGUAUUCAAUCGAUUGAACAAUAAAAAGUAUUAUAAAAGUAAACAAUAUCCGGAAAUGAUUAUUAUUUUUGAAUGAACAUCGCCGCUUGCGUGUAAGAGUUCAUGGUGGAAUGACAUUCGUGGAGAACGAGACAAAAAAAACAUUGAUGCUUGAAAAAUAUAUAUAUUGGAGUAUCUGUUUCGUUUGAGGCGACCCCCGGUGAGCAAGGUAUGGCAGCCGCCAUACCUUGAUUCCAGACAAAAAUGAAAAGAGGUCGUUGGCACACGCAAGCAUGUCGAGUGCAGCAAGAAAACAUGCAAAGAGGCCAUUGGCACAUGCAUGCACGUCGAGUGCAGCGAGAAAACGUGCAAAAAGGCCGCUGGCACACGCACGCACGUCACACAUUGCUCGAGCGGUGGCUCCAGCGAAGGCGGCAUCAAGCUCCAGCGGUUGUUCGGGCUCUAAGAUGGAAAAGAAGGGGAAGGGACCAGCAAAUCCAAGAAACUCCUUACAAAGCUGUGAUUAUUAUAAUGUAAUGAUUUCUUUGAUAUUGUCUUAACCCAAAAAAACUCCUUUUCUAGGUUCAACCUGAAUAAGCUUGCUAAGCUCAUAGAGAUUUAUCAUGAUGACUUCUCUAAUUAUGAACGUGAACAUAUAAAAGAUAAUCUUGAUCUAUUCAUUAUCCAUACGAAAAGAAUUGAAGAUUGUACAUCUUGUCAUGAUAUUGCAAGCCUAACUAAAAUGAAGGCUGAACUUGAAAGGCAGGUCGUGUUUCCUAUUGUUUAUCGCCUCAUUGAGUUGGCAUUGCUACUACCGGUAGCGACAACAACAGUUGAAAGGGCCUUCUCAUCAAUGAAAAUCAUCAAUACUGAGUUGCGCAACAAGAUGACAGAUGGUUGGCUUAAGGACUUGAUGGUUUCUUAUAUUGAGCAAGAGAUCUUCAAAAGUAUUGAUCUUGGUAAAAUUAAGGAAGAUUUCAGAAUGAUGGUGGGCAUUGCCAUUGCCUGGGUCUUCUAGACGUCAUUGAAAACUUCAUUAACGGUAUGUUUUAGGUUGUUGUCCUAUUGAAACAUGCCUACAUUUUCAAUGUAUUUGGUUUUUUGUUUGUAAUGUGUAUUGAAUCUUUCGAUUUGCAUAAAAAAAUCUUUCCUUAAGACUUCAUAAAAUAUUGCCCUCCGCCUCUGAUCUGUUUGGUUUCCUUUUUUAUCGAGGACUUUAACACUGUCAUUCCAUCACAAAAAAGUAAUUUACACCCUGGUAAAACACCCACAAAGUUUUUGCCUACAAUUCAAAGAAAAAUAUAAAAUCCUUCUUACUCCCUCCAAUCUAAAUUAAUUGACGUAACCUUCAUACAAUGUAAAGGAUGCGUCAAUUUAUUUGAAAAUGAGGGAAUGCCAUUUUUCAUAUUUCACUGUUCAUCAGGCUGCAUGCGGGCUCGUGAUAAGAGCAUCCAUCCCAACACAUUAUGCAUAACGGGCAUCGUGCCAAAAAUACUACUCCCUUCGUCCAAAAAUACUUGUCAUAAGAAUUAAUAUAUCUAGAUGUAUUUUAAUUCUAAAUACAUCUAUUUGUAUCCAUUUACCCGAUAAGUAUUUUUGAAUGGAGGGAGUACCUUUUAAGGCAUACUUUUGCCUAAAAACAAUGCUCCAACAGAUGACGUGUCUGUAAAUUUUUGUGCUGAGUUUGAUAGUGAGGACGACUCGUUCCAGGAAUGUUUGGAAGAACGUCGACUCCGAGGUUGAUGACUCUGAUGCUGAGUUCGAUAGUGAGGACGAAUCGUUCGCAGUCAAUUUAUCUUUUUUAAGUUUGAAUUCAUUUCCAAGUUUGAACAUUUCAUAGUCUGAAAUAUGGAAAUAUGCAAUGACCGUGUUUAAAGCUUGGAAGUCUUAGGUCAUCAGUUUUACAUCAUCUGUUGAAGAUGCUCCGAGAACAUCACUUUCGGUCCUGGGCAUCCGCCCACUCUGCCAAUCCAUUUUCACCAACUCAACAUACCUGGGUACUACUACUUCCCAGCCGGAGCACAGCUUGCACAGGGAUCCGCCCAAGUCAUCUCUCCUGGCAUUGGCAUAUGACACCAUCACACCAUACAGGUUCAGCGUCACCUGCAAAAGAAAAACUACGCUCCAAGCACAAGCACAGGCUCAUACUGUAAAACUGCCAUGUUUCAGUUUUAUAACUUGCUGUCCCUCUUCAUCCUUUGGAACACUUGCCAAAGAGCAGAGCAGGGAGAGCUUCUGCGCCGGUUUAUUUGUCUUUUUACAUGCAGUCCAGCAAAACCCAAAGCACCACCAAAACAUCUAGACACCAGGCCACUACUAUCUUCUUCUUCUUCUUCUUUCUUCUUCCCACAAAGGGCACACGGACCGACAGACAGACGACUCUGUUCUUCCUUUUUCGACAACACAAACAACUACAAACAGCACGGGAGUUUCUUUCCGCUACUACAUCUACAACAGACAGACAGACACAUGGUUCAGGCUCUCACACAGCCUGCAGACACAGCUUCGCUCGCUUGCUCAUAGCCCCAUGAGGUGGUCGAGGCCCCCGUGAGGGCCUCCUCCACCCAUGCCGCCGAGAGAGCCCCCGCCGCCCAUGCCACCGCCGAGAGAGCCCCCGCCGCCCAUGCCACCGCCGAGAGAGCCUCCCCCGCCCAUGCCGCCAAGAGAGCCUCCUCCGCCCAUGCCUCCAAGAGAGCCCCCGCCGCCCAUGCCUCCGAGAGAGCCUCCUCCGCCCAUGCCACCAAGGGAACCUCCCCCGCCCAUGCCUCCGAGAGAGCCUCCUCCGCCCAUGCCUCCGAGAGAGCCUCCUCCGCCCAUGCCAGCGUGAGAGCUUCCCCCGCCCAUGCCGGCGAUCGACAUGUUGCUCAGCAGCUGCUGGAGCCACCGCCUCGUCACGUUAUCAUCCUAUGUCCAUGGGAAAGAAGCAAGCGUCAGUAAACGAUCCCAACUGUGCCAGUGCAGAUAUCGAUUCCAAGAUUGUCUAGCUAGCUAGGGAAAAAACAUGAGUCAGGGAACGCACAUGAAGGAAGCUGUUGAAUGUCCCGUCCUUCAGCACGGUGGGGAGGCAGCUGUUGAGCGCGGCGCAAGCCCUGCAUAACAUCACGUAGAGAUGUUUAGGAACUGGCAGUUCUACCUACGAGCUGUGCUUUUUCGACAGAUGGCGGCACCAACCUCUGGUUCUCUGUCAGCCUGAGGUAGCAGCGGAUUAUGUGCUUCAGUAACCUUGCAGAUGGCUGCUCAGCAAGCGCCUGGACCAUCUGCGCUAAAACAGUGGCCACAGCAAAGAAACGCUCAGCAGUCGCGCAGAUGUAGCGCAGCCCAAUGUCAUCAAGCAGAAUCUUUUGAACAAUAAAGGUGGCCACCUGCAAGUAACAGUAACCUCGGCGGAGUUAGUGAGACUGGUGCACUUGCUACAGAUCUCAGAGUAAAGAGAUCUAACAGUCCAGUGAAAAGCUAUCUAUGGAAGCUUUAAGUACAUCAUGGCUUAACAACCAGUUUGAGUUUCCUGAGUUUCUUGACAUCCACAUCCUUAUUUAUUAGUUACCACUAAGGUAAACUAAAUACUAAUAAAAAUGUUAAAGAUAAAAUAUUCCAGUAAGAUAAGAUAAAGGAUGAUGCAAACUACAGAAGGCAGCUACCACAUAUAAUCAUAGCAAUUCAUACCCUAGAUUGCAGCAUGAUUUCAGUGUUGCACCAUGCAAAUUUCACAUAAGAUUAAUUAACCAUGCCAGUGCAUUGCCAAAGGGUACAAAACAUAGAUCCAGAACUAGAUGAUCAUUAGAUUUAGAUUUGUAAAAGGGGUUGAGUUCAUACUGUUUUGGAAAGUUCACUGCCCAUCUCCAUAGUACGGAGACAUAGAGGGAUUAUUUCAGUUUGAAGCAGAAAUCCAAUAACUUCAGAAUCAUCAACCUGCAAACAAAGCGAUGAAAAUAUUCUUCUGAUAUGCAAAUCGGAUAUCCAAAAUACGAAACACUAGAAAAAUUUCUAACAAAUCAUUAGCCCGUUCGGUUCAAAAAUAUCAAUUCUUGUUGGGAUUCCUGGGGUCCAAAUCCCAACCAGUCCAUUUGAUUAAAAUGACUGGAUUACUGGAAUGAGAAUACCAAAAGAACCAGAUAUAGUCUAAAAAAAAUACAGCCACUGCCCAUCACUGUUUUCCCCUUUGGUUCAACCCUCUCUCCAUUUAAAGCAAAAAUCUAUAUGUACCAUCCAUUCCUAGUUUGCACAAAUAUCAAGUUUUAAAUUACCUUCACAAGAGCACCAAUAACACCCAAGCUGGUAAGCCUCAAGUACUCAAAAGGUCUUGUCUUGCUGGUAGUAUUCAGGAACGGGUACAGGUACAGUGGGAUGUGAGCUGCAAAGGAAAAGGAAGAAGACUCAUUUGUUAACCACUGCUAAUUAAGAUUUACUUAUUUGGUAAAGUCAGAACAGAUGAGGAAAGAUUUUCAACAAUAAACAAUGAAAAUAUUUAAGACUUGGCAUAGAAACAGUCGCGCUCAAUACCAUUCAAGAAUGGGAUCCUGGUCUCAGGGUGUGAAGCAACACACUGCAAUUGAAAAACAAAAGUAAGAUGAAACUGAGGGGCAGAUGACAAGCAAGUAUGAUACGAAAGCAGUAGUAUUCUCAAUUCGCCACAAGGCCCACCAAGAGUGAGGGUUUCCUUUCUUUCAAAAAUAAAAGCAUACCUGAAGAAGUGCAAGUGCAUUGCAGACACGGUUUGAUGCAACUGGCGAUAAAGUAGGAGGUGAAAGUGAAGGGUAGAUUGACACAAUCUCCUGCAUAGAUUUUCAAAAUAGCAAGAUAGACUGAAUAAGGAAAAUGCACAGAACCAUCAAUAAAUUUCAUAUUGAAAGAAUCAAUAACAUGCACAACCACCCUAACUUAAAUAACAAGAAUUCCACCAAGUGCAUAUUUACUCUUGCCAUUGUGACUGAAUUUAGAACUGUGCAAUAACUGUAACCUACCUGGAGCAGUGCAGCAAUGGUGCCAAAGGAGUGCCACAGGAGUGGAGCAAGAUCUUGAAAAAUCUCUCGCUUCUGAAAGAAGAAAACUGAGAAACAGAUUAGACAAUGAAUUUUCACCUCCUGCAUCCCAAAUUUGUAGCCAUACUUCAAAUGUUAAAGUAGAAGUAGUUCAAUAUAUCAACUGUUCAGUUUGGGAUAUUGUCUUUGGAAAGUUGAUGUUUUAGUAAGAAAAGAAUGAUGAUGCUUGCAUUAGUGGCUCAUACCAUGGGUUCGCACUUUUGGUAGAUAAAGAAGUGACAGAAAAGAAAUACCUACUAAACUUCAUCACUUAUCUAGAUAAUCUGCAGAAGUAGAACAUGCUGUUCCUAACAUAUAAAUGUCUUCCUAUAUAGUUCAUAAACUGUUUAGAUUUCUUAACAACCCUGAUAAGUUUGCAAACUCAUCAACAGGACAGGAUUUCGCAAAGUUUACACAACCCCCUGUCCUUGAACAGGGUAUCUCCACCAGAUACUAUAAUUAAAUGUGCACAGCCGAAUACAGACCUUGCAGUCUGCUCCAGCUCAAAAAUAUUCAUUGAAAGUUCACUUUUACCAAGAAACAGAUACAUCAGGAAGCAGGGGCUAUUAACAAAAAUGCACUUCUUCUUGUGGUAUUCACUCCUUUUUUUCGAAAAGGAGGCGUCGCCCCGGCCUCUGCAUCGAGUGAUGCAUACAGCCAUUUUAUUAAGAAAGAAAUAGUCUGAACCAAAUACAAAGUAGUCCGAGAAUCCAAAUGAAAAAACAAAAAAAGGAGUUACACGGCGAUCAUAACGCCAAUACCGACUAUAUCCCUCGGAUAUACACGACUAAGGUUCAAUCCUAUUAGCAUGCCGCCAUCCAUAUUGGUUGAAGAUAACCUGAGCUACCAUCUCCCAUCGGACACACCCAGUAACCAAAGGCUCCCUGGUUUCCACAGGAUAUUGUAUAUAAUAACCGCAGUAUUUUCCAUUUUAUUCAGGGGUACUAUAACAGAAAUGGGCACGUGUCUUGUCGUAUUCGAUCCUAACAGAACAACAUAUUAUAAGAAAACAGCAGUACUUUCCAUUUUAAUCAGAGCAAGCAGAACAAAAAUGAAUACAGCUAUCCGAUGCACACAGCGAAACUGCCAUCCGAGUGUGUCCAACAGAGACCGGCAACCGUUCCCGCUACGGAUGCUAAUAACAAGUACAGCAUAUCACAUGUUUAAAGAGUGCUCCCUCUGUAAACUAAUAUAAGAGCAUUUAUAUCACUAUUUUAGUGAUCUAUAAACGCUCUUAUAUCAGUUUACGGAGGGAGUAUAUCAUAAUAAAAGCUACAAAGAUCACGUACCAAACCCUACUUGCUUUCGCUACACAUCUACAAGUCUACAACAAACUAAGGGACUGCACAAAAUCACCCAAUUCUCGUCAUACUGCAGACAUGAGCAGGCAGAGUUGGACUGAAUUACCCAACACCACAAGCUAGUCAUGGAAUCGCCCUGGGGAGAUAGGAGAGCAACAUUUCCAUAACAAGCAUGGACCAACGAUAACAGGGAAAGACGGGCGCGCACUGAUCUGUACCCUAGAACCUAGAUCACCACGUGAGCCGAUUUACCCAUGGAGAACUGCCCUGAAGCUGACAUCAGAUAGAUCAUCAGGGUCCCCAAUCUACUUCCGCCUAGGCACAACAUUGCAUCACCAAGGUCGCAGCUUUACCAGCCACCACACGGCACACACAGAUCCCCCGAUUCGCCACCACAAAUCCAACCCUUAAACAUCCACCAGACAGCUACAAGCGCGAAUUUUUCCUAAACGGGGAGAGCUAGAGGGGGUUGGGUCCUCCGCGGCGGGGAGGGUGGGGGGCGGGAGGAGGAGGCGACCUUGGAGAGCUCGAGGAGGGCGUUCUCGCGCAGCUCCGGGUCGCAGAGGUCGAGCACGAGCUGCUCCGCGGACACCAUCUUCCGGUCCCUGCCCCCGGCGGGCGGCGGCGCGGCCGACGAGCCGGACGAGGGCGGGAGCGGGGGCGGCGAGGGCGCCCCGAAGGAGGGCCCGGCGGCGAGGGACGGCGGCAGAUUCGCCAUUGAGGACGGGGAGCGGAGGGGGCAGUGGCGUGAGGGAGGGAGCAAAAACUGAGGAGGCGGUCGGGAGGAGGAGGAGGAGAGGGGGCAGAGGUUAUACCAGAAGCGGUAUGCUACGAGGAGGGGCAGGACAGGGAAUCGGCGGCGGUUUCCCAACUUUGCUGCUUGUCUUCAAACGGGGAUGACACAUUUUCCAUGGCCGUCCUCCUCGGCGCCUUGCUGCCAUGGCGUCACACGCGCCCCGGAAGCCGCCAUGGCGGCCACGCCUGAAUCCGGCCGGACUCGCCGGUGGGCGCUUGUCCCACUCCUUCCUUCCUCGGCGCACCAGCUCAGCCACCUAACGCUAUCUCUGUUGUUUUGCGGGGCUCCGUCGACCUCACGCUUCGUGAAGCUUAUUGUCUCACACGAAACAAACAUUGUCCGCAUCGAUGGAUUCGUGCUUGUUCAUGCGUGCCUUGUUCAUUGUGGUGUGUUGAGCUGUAUCUCUUGAACCUACAUAUGUGUGGGGCAUAUGCAUCCAACUACGAACAAGAACUAACGUACGUCCCUGUCUAAAAGGUCUUACAGAAGUGAACAGAAAGAGUACUUGAGAUAGAAGAAAUGCCAAUAUGCAAAAGAAUAUGCCCCGUCAAAACGUCCUUCUCACCAAGUACAUACUUCCCCAUUCCAAAAUUAAUGACUUGAAAAUAACUCAAUUUUGUAUUAAAUUGGGACGGAGGGAGUACAUGGCAAGCAAGGUAUUCGGAGUUGACGUGUAUAAGAUGGUUGAGUAUUUAGGGUUGACGGAUAAAGGAUGAUUGAUUGUUCCACCUGUCACCAGGCAUGCAAAGGUGUGAAGCGAUAUAAAAAGGGAGAGAAACGAUGCACGUUUUUUAUGUGUGUGCAUGCAUGGACUUCAUUCUCGUCAUGCUCCAGAUAUGAGCAGACAGAAUUGCAUUGAAUUACCCAACAUACCGCCAGCUAGUCAUUGAAUCGCCAUCGGGGAGGGGGGAUCAGAAAACACAAUUUCCAUACCAAACAUGAAACAAGGAGUAGGAGGGGAAGACGGGCAUGCAUUGAUCUAUACCCUAAAACCUAGAUCACCGGGUGAGCAGAUUUACCUACAUAACCGCACAACAGCUCGCAUCAGAUAGAUCACCAAGGUCCCCAAUCUAAUUUUGCCUAAACACAACAUUGCAUCACCAAGAUCGCAUCUUUACCAACCACCACACAACUCAUACAAGACCCCUGAUUCCCUCACCGUAAAUCCGAUCCUUAAAUACCCACCACAGAGCUAUAAAUGCAAAAAAUUCCUCGACGGGGAGGGCUAGAGAGAAGUGCAUAGAAGUGCAAAAAAAUUCGGUGGGAGGGAGGAGGCCGGGGGGGGGGGGGGNNNNNNNNNNNNNNNNNNNNNNNNNNNNNNNNNNNNNNNNNNNNNNNNNNNNNNGGGGGGGGGGGGGGAAGAGACCUUGAAGAGCUCGAAGAGGGCUUUCUCACGCAGUUCUGGGUCGCAGAUGUCGAUCGCGAGCUGCUCUGCAGACACCAUAUUCCAGUCCCUCCCGUCGACGGCCGGCACCGCGGUCGACCACCCGGGUGGAGGCAGGAACGGGGGCGGGGAGGGUGCAUCAAAGGAGGGGGUGGUGGCGAGGGACGGCGACAGAUUCGCCAUUGAGGAGAGGAGGGUGUAGUGGUGUGAGGGAGAAAAAACCGAUAAGGUGGUCACGAGGAGGAGAAGCGGCUCUGCCCCUAAAGGGCCAGGUUAUAUUAGCAACAGUAUGCUACGAGGAGGGGCGACACAUGGGAUCGACAGUUGUUUCCCAACUUUGCUACUUUGUCCUUAAAUGGAUGAAAUAUUUUUUCAACCAUCUUUUUAAUGCCUUGCUAUGGUAUCACACACAUCCUAAAAGCUGACAUAGCAGUCACGACAUGUUCGGUUGGACUAGCCGGUGGAUCUAUUUUACUAGCCGUCCUUUCUAAUGCCUUGCAAUGGUAUCACACGCAUCCUAGAAAGCCGUCAUGGGAGCCAAGGCAUGAAUCCGACUGGACUCGUGAUCCAUUUCUCUAGUCGUCCUUUAUAAUGCCUUGUUAUGCUAUCACACGCAUCCUAGAAGUCGGCACGGCAACCAGGGCAUGGAUCCAGAUGGACUUUACGAUGGACACUUUUUCCAUUCCUUCUCGCCCACCAUCUCCCCACUGAACGCUUUUCCUGUUGUUUUUUCCGAUCUUCAUUGAUCUAACAUUUCCUGAGAAAUGUACCUUCUUUGUGGAGGUCGUUGUAUGCCUUCGUUUUGUGCAGAUCUAUGUCAUGCACGUCGAGUGAGUGCGCGUGUGUCGUGCAAGCGUUCAGGGACAAAGACAAAGCUGACAUGCGGGUCUCGUUGUCAUUGACAUAGAUAGAUAGGAGAGAGAAAGAGCUCGAGCGCAAGGUUGGGCGUUGGAUCAAGAUCUGAUGGUCGCGAUAAAAUGGAGGCGUACAAUUUGGCUUAAGUGGUUGGGGUUGUGAGCACUUGCACUACUAGGAAAACCCCUAUAGGUAACCACUUAGUAGUGGCGCUGCCUAUCUGACUAGCGCUACCGCUACUUAGUAGUAGUGUAGGUUCAAAUCAUGCGCUACAAGUAAGGCGUAGUAGUAGCAUGGGAACAAUGGCCCUGCGCUAGUGCUAAGUGGACACCAUCGUGCCACCUCCCCCCUACGGAUAUGUAGUAGUGGCAUAUAGUCUCUAAGUGUGACUUUGGUAAGUAAUGACAAUCUAUAUGAUCUAUUGCUUCCAGUGAGAUAUAUUUGAAGGUAUAGUACAUAGGUGGUGCCUUAAGGAUGAUUGCCUUAAAGAUGAAGAUUUGCUCUUAAGCUUUGGUAUUGAAUGACAAUUCCUAUGGAGCAUCAAUGGAAUUGUAUAUUAUAUGAACAAAUGUUCCAUAGUGAUGCAUGAAGCAUGUUCGAUUUCUGUGUGAAGAGUUCCAUUAGAAGCCUCUCAAAGAAGUCCUCGUGGUAUCCUCUCUGCUUACCCGAUGCACACGGGGUCGAGGGGUCGUGCCUACGGGGUCUAGUUAAAUAUCUCUAGACACCUCAUGAGCACGGGAUUCUUGACCCAUGUGCACACGAGGUCGAGCGUUAAACUCUCUGGAUACCCCGUGCGCACGGUUUAUCUGACCUCGUGCCGACGGGGCCUAUGGUUUAACUCUCGUGGUAUCUUGCCUAGUGAGGAUAGUAGUUGGUCUUUGGAUGUUUCUAAUGAAUCCAUCAAGUUUGAUUUCAAUGUCUAAAUAAAUAUGUUCAAGGUGGAGUUGAUUGGAGGAACUCAAAGGUUGACACAUUUGGGCUUAUAGGGAUUAAGUUCUUGAGAGUAUAACUAAAGAGAAGAAUUCAAGCUAUGGUAUCAAGAGAAGAUCAUGAUGAGCUCAUGUAUUGGGUUUUAGUUGAUCAUGUCUUGAAGUAAGCAACUAGAGUGAAGAAUUUAUUGUGCUUCUCAAGAGUUUGUGAUGGGGCAUUUAGAAGAGGAAUCGAUGACCAAUAUGAUGUUCAUGGUGAAAUUUGAUAUGGUCAUGAAAGAGUCUUUGGUGAUCUAGUCUUGAAGAAAUGAAAUAAAAUGAAGAGGUCAUUAUGGCUUCUAAGAAACCAAUAUAGAGCUUGAAGUAAAGAUGUCGGUUGACCAAGAUGAAGCUCAAAGAUUGUAUCUAGCUAGAUAGUCAACACACAAGGGCAAACAAUGUACCACGUGGGAUGAAGUGAUCUAGUUGUAUGGUAAGUAACUGUGAAUUGUGUUUUAUGCACUAACCCCUGCUAUGUGUUUGCUAUGCCUAUGUGGGUUAGGUGUUUCUCAUGGGCUUGUAUCCACAUAAAGAUUUCGAGUGGCCUAUGUGAGGAUGACAUCAAGUGGUGAUGGUUAUCGAGUUUGGGGAGUCUAAGUGCAAGAUGAGAAGCCGGAGGUUAUAUGCUUUGAAGCUUGCGGUCCACACCGUGGUUAUGUACAUGUGAAGAUGUGCUUAAGAGAAAGCUUCUCAUUUUGCAAUAUGAGAAGCAAUUCAAAUAUCUUCACCAAGUGAUUGUGGUUAAGAAAAGGAUUCCAACUUGAGGCAACCAUUAACGUCAUCAACAAGCUCAAGUGGAAUGUGUGAGGCAAAGGUAUACCUUAGCUAGGUUUUCCACCCAAGCAUGGAUAUGAUUGCUCAUGAUGUGGCAGCUCUUAAAAAUAAAAACUACAUACAGUUGACGAUAUGGCUAGAAAUAUGGAUAGGAUUGCUCAUGAUGUGGAAACUCUUAAAAAUAAAUAAAAAAUCCACCCUAGCAUGAUAUUAAUGAGUCCAUUAAAUGUAUCAAAGUCUAUAUUAAUGAAAGCAAUGAGAGAAAUGCUAGGUUGAUAGCUAAACGAGAAUUCGUAGUAAAAGCUCUUCCAUCCGGUUUUUAACGUAAUCAUGAUGAAGAUAUUAAAAUUAUUGGUGUUUAUCCUAUUGAAUCUUUAUUUACUAAUCUUUAAAUUCAUGAUAAAGGGACUGGAGAUGAGUCAAAUUUAGCUAGAAGGUGUCCCAUUUGUUUGGAGAGUGAUGAUCUUGAUGAUAAAAAUGGAAAAGGUUGGUUUGGACAGGUCAAAACUUUAACUAGUGAUGUGCCCACUAUUUUGGAUUACAAGGACUUUAAUUAUGAGAGUUGUUCUUUAGUAGAAUGUAUUUCCUUGUUGCGAUCAAUAAUAAUCUCACCCAAUGCUUAUGAACAAAAUAAAGGUUUUACCAAACAUAUCAUAGAAACGAUGAUAAAAGCUCAUGAGGUGAAACAUUAACUAGAAGUUCCUAUACUUAGAAAAUUGCAUGAUGAAUGUGAACCUACUAUUAAAAUUAAGCUUAAAUAAUAUGAAUGUAAUUCUUUGCGUGACCUUGGUGCUAGUGUUUCAACUAUACGUAAAGAUUGUUCCCUUAAUUUGCAUCUUGCGAAUUCUACCAUUAAGAUAUUGAUGUCCCACAAGCGUAUGGGAUCGCAACAGUUUUCGAGGGUAGAGUAUUCAACCCAAAUUUGUUGGUUCGCACGAGGGGAAGCGAAAGAAUAUUAUCAAGUAUUAGCAGAUGAACGUGUCAGAUUCAACCACACCUGAAAGAUUAGUGUCUGCAAGCAAAGUAUCAGUAGCAAGGUAGUAUGAUAACAACGGUGCCAGAAAUGAUCUGUUGACAAGGCAGACUAUUCCUAACUGUUGUAUCAAUGGCGCCAGUAAAAGCCUUGCUGACAGGAUGUAAGUGCCGCUUACCUAGACCGGCAAUGGUGCCAACAAAGUCUUGCAGCAAGUAACAGCGGAGUAGUAAGGAACAGCAGUAGCAGCAGCAGCAAAGUAACAAGUAACAACAGUAGUGACAGCAACAGCAAAGUGGCCCAAUCCCUUUUGUAGCAAGGGACAAGCCUAGGCAAAGUAACGUAGCGAGGACCAGUAGUAAAAGACUCGUAGGCAGUGGAUCCGUGAUGGGUGAGUGUGACAGAUGUGAGUCAUCAUGUAACAGCUAUAACACGGAGAGAUAUGUAACUAGUUCCCGUUCAUCAAUCUAAUGUAGGCAUGUAUUCCGUAUGUAGUCAUACGUGCUUAGGGAAAAGAACUUGCAUGACAUCUAUUGUCCAUCCCUCCCAUGGCAGCGGGGUCCUAAUGGAAACUACGGGAUAUUAAGGUUCUCCUUUUAAUAAAGAAUCGAACCAAUGCAUUAACACGCGGUGAAUACAUGAACUCCUCAUGCUAUGGUCAUCUCCGGGAGUGGUUCCGGCUAUUGUCACUCCGGGGUUGCCGGGUCAUAACACAUAGUAGGUGACUACAACUUGCAAGAUAGGAUCUAAAACACACAUAUAUUGGCGACAACAUAAUAGGUUCAGAUCUGAAAUCAUGACACUCGGGCCCUAGUGACAAGCAUUACGCAUAACCAAGUAGUAGCAACAUCAAUCUAGAACAUAGUGGAUACUAGGGAUCAAUACCCGUCAAGAACUAACUCGAUUACAUGAUAUAUCUCAUCCAACUCAUCACCGUCCAGCAAGCCUACAUGAGAUUACUCACGAACGAUGAAGAGCAUCAUGGAAUUUUCGAUGGAGAAAGGUUGAUGAUGACGAUGGCGACGAUUUCCCCUCUCCGGAGCCCGAAACGGACUCCAGAUCUGCCCUCCAGAUGAAGAACAGGAUAUGGCGGCGCCUCCGUAUCGCAAAAUGUGAUGAAACCUUCUCUGUGAUUUUUUCCAGGCGAAACAGAAGAUAUAGAGUUGAGAUUGGGGGUGGUGGUGCCACGUGGGCCCCACAAGCCUGCACGGCGCGACCUAGGGGGUGGCCGUGGCCUGUGGGCUUGUGGCCCACUGGCACGCCCCCUCCGGUGGAUCUUUGUGCAGAUAUUUUUCUUUUAUUCCAGAAAAAAUCUCCGUAAAUUUUUAGGACAUUUCGAGAACUUUUAUUUCUGCACAAAAACAACACCAUGGCAAUUCUGCUGAAAACAACGUCAGUCCGGGUUAGUUCCAUUCAAAUCAUGCAAAUUAGAGUCCAAAACAAGGGCAAAAGAGUUCGGAAAAGUAGAUACGACGGAGACGUAUCAACUCCCCAAGCUUAAAGCCUUGCUUGUCCUCAAGCAACUCAGUUGACAAACUGAGAGAGACAAAAAGAAAAACUUUGACGAACUCUGUUUGAUCUUGUUGUUGCAACUAUGUCUAACUCAUAACCAGAAUUUCAGCAACAUCACAAGCAAACCACAUAAGCAAAUGACAUCUAGGUCUCACGGUAAACUCAUAUCAAUGGCAUAAUCAACUAGCGAGCAAAUAAUAGUAAGUCUCAAAUGUCAACACUUCAAUCAAAACAACAUGAAGCAGUACGAAUAGAUGGUAUCUCGCUAACUCUUUCUGAGACCGCAAAACAUAAAUGCAGAGCACCUUAAAAGACCAAGGGCUGACUAAACAUUGUAAUUCAUGGCAAUGAAGAUCCAGUCAUAGUCAUACUCAACACAGUUAAAAGCAAAGCAUAAAAAUGACAGAGGUGCUCUCUAAUUGGUGCUUUUGUAAGAGGAGGAUGACUCAACAGGAACAUAAAUAAACAGGCCCUUCGCAGAGGGAAGCAUUGAUUUGCAGAGGUGCCAGAGCUCAAGCUUUGAAAACAGAGAUAAUAAUUUUGGGUGGCAUGAUUUCAUUGUCAACGCAAUGACUAAGAGUUCUCAACAUCUUCCACGCUAAACAUGCUAUAUGCAGUUCCCAAACAGAAAAGUAAAGUUGUGACUCCCCCACCACCAAUCAAUCACACUCCAUGGCUAGCCGAAUCCUCGGGUACCGUCCAUACCAACAUCAAUCCUGGGGGAGUUUUGUUUGCAAUUAUCUUUUCGAUUUGAGCAUGGAACUGGGAAUUCCAAUUACCGACCCCUUUCUCGUGAAUGAUAGUGAAUAAACACAUAUCGAGGAUAACAUGCCUAGCAUGGAAGAUACCAAUAGCCCCCUAUCACCACAUGAGCGGUUCGGGCAUGCAAAACAGAUUAUUUCUUGAAGAUUUAGAGAGUGGCACAUGCAAAUUUACUUGGAACGGCAGGUAGAUACCGCACAUAGGUAGGUAUGGUGGACUCAUAUGGAACAACUUUGGGUUUAUGGAGGUGGAUGCACAAGCAGUAUUCCCGCUUAGUACAAGUGAAGGCUAGCAAAAGACUGGGAAGCGACCAACUAGAGAGCGACAACAGUCAUCAAAAUGCAUUGAGAGUAACUAACAUUGAGUGCAAGCAUGAGUAGGACAUAAAUCACCAUGAACAUGAACAUCAUAGAGGCUAUGUUGAUUUUGUUUCAACUACAUGCGUGAACAUGCGCCAAGUCAAGCCACUUGAAACAUUCAAAGGAGGAUACCAUCCUAUCAUACUACAUCAUAGUCAUCUCAACAUUCAUGUUGGCAACCAAGGCAAACCAUUAUAAGCUCCUAGCUAAGUAAGCAUGGCAUAAGCAACUAUGAUCUCUAAGUUGUCAUUGCAAACAUGUUUCUCUCACAACAAAGCUGAACUAGGAACAGUGAGCUAGUCAUAUUUACAAAAACAAAAUAGAUCGAGUUCAUACCAGCUUUUCCAGGCUCAGUCACUUCAUCAUAUAUCGUCAUUAUUGCCUUUCACUUGCACAAACGAACAAUGUGAACAAUAAUAAGAGUGCUCGUGCAUUGGACUAAAGCUGGAAUCUGCAGGCAAACACAAAGGAGAAGACAAAGUAAUAUGGCUCUUGAUAGCUAAACAUGUAUGCGUGCAAGAGCCACUAAACAUUGUAACCAAUAUCUUCUACCUUGACCCAAAGAAAAAGAAAACUAUCUACACAGGAAAGCUCCCAACAAGCAAAAGAAGAAAAAGAAAAUCUUUUUGGGUUUUUCUCAAACUAGACAGACACACGAAAAGAAAACGAGAAAAAGAAAAUAAACUAGCAUGGAUGAUACAGUGGCAAAGUGUGAACACCGACGAACAAAGUGAAAGCAUAAGCAAGAAUGUAAAGUCGGUGAGAACACGUACUCCCCCAAGCUUAGCCUUUUGGCCUAAGUUGGUCUACUCCCAAGGAGGGAAAUAACCAGCUCCGGGGUACUCCGGAGUGGACUGAGGAUGCCACUGCUGUGUGAGCUCCUCUAGCUCCCACUAAUAAACCUGCGUCUGGUACUCGACUGGUGGCUCGGGCACGGGAACCUGUGGUUGGGCUAAGCCCCAAUAUGCGUAGAUGCCCGAGGGCAUAAUAAUGUACCUGCCUGCAUGAAGAUUGAACAAAAAAGGAGCAGGCAAAGUAAUAGUCUCACGAGUACCCUCACUGAAUACCAGGUUAUAAAUCAUCCUUCUGUUUACAUCUCUAUCAAGAAAGUCAUGGCGAACCAUGCUAUCAUAAUCUAGAUAUUUCUCGGGAAGAAGAAUCUCUUCUUCCUCGUCUAGUCAAAUAGGUAUCUCAAAGUGUCUAGCAAGACGAGUAGCAUAGAUACCUCCAUAGACAAUGGCUUUAGAACAGUUCAGGUUCAACCAUUGAGCUACUAUAGCGCCUAAGUUAUAAGUUUUAUCGUUAUAAAGGGCUUCGCGCAAGACCGCAAUAUCUGGGGAACUAAGUGACCCAACUUUCCCAUGACCAAUCAAACAUUUUCCCACAAAUAAUGAGAAGUACCGAAGCACGGGAAAAUGAAUGCUAGCAGCUCUAGCGCAAGACACUCCUCUCUCCUCUCCUACGGCAAUAGUAUCGAUGAAAGCUUCCAAGUCCCGUGGACGAGGUUCAUGAAUAUCCCCAACAAAAGGUAAUUUGUAAACAUUGCAAAAAUCAUGGAGUGACAUGCGCUGGGGGAUAUCAUAAAGUUUGAACUCAACCAUAGGAGGAUUCUUCCUCGGAUAGAAGUUAAAGCUUUGUACGAAGAUAUUAGUGAGGAGGAGGUAUUACAGACACUUAUCUUCAAUGAAGGCGGUAAGGCCUGCGUUAUCAACCAAGUGAUAAAAGUCCUCAUAAAUUACAGCGGCGCGUAAGAACACGUCGCUUGGCCACUCGCACGCUCGAACUUCUGCGACUCGAGGGACCAGAUACUUGGGCUUCUUCUCACUCCCAUCAUCCUUGGGGUCACGGCUUGAAGAGCCUCUUAAGAACCUCCUCAUCUUUUCCUUUUUCUAUCUCUGAAAAUUUCUGAAAUUUUUAGUGACCCUAAGGAAAAGUGAACAAGGCUCAACUAAACUAGUAGCAACUACUCCCACAAGUGCCUAGAGACCAUAUUAUGCAUCAAAACUACUUGGGACCAGCUAGAAUUAGCAUGCAAAGCUCAAGAACAUGGUCACCAAGGCAGGAAAAAUACGCGGAGUAUAAGGCACUAGAGCAAAAACUAAUUGGACCAAUGGAGGAGUCACUUACCAAGGAGUAAUUUCCCCCAAACAGUUCGGAGAACGGUGAUUUGAGCAAAGAGAUCGAAAAUCCCAGCAAGAGGAGCAAGAACACGGGUUUGAGCUACGAAACGAUUUUUCUGGAGGUAGGAUAACCAGAUGAGAGCAAGAAUGAGUGGAGGGGGUGCCUGUGUGCCCCACAAGCCUGAGUGGCACGGCCAGGGGGUGCCCGCACCGUCAGGGCUUGUGGCCCACUGCUACAGCCCCCAGACAAGCUCUUUGUCUCAGAAUUUUUCAAAAAUUCCAGAAAAAAUCAUACUUGAUUUUCGGGACGUUCGGAGAACUUUUAUUUUUGGAGUACUUUUCUACCGGACACUAAAACAGAAAAUAGGGAAAACUAAACUAAAUCUAUCAUUUUUCUUCUAAGCAACCUAAAGUGAAAGCUUGGAACACAGGUUUGUGACUCCUUGAUUUAUCCAUCUCAUGGUCAUCGAAAGAAAAUCCGCCAAUGAGGUUGAUCAAGUCUCCUCGACAAACCUUUUCGAAUCGCAAAAGAAGACGGAGAAUUUUUGAAUAGUCACUAGGCCACCUCAAUGGGGAUGUGUAUCUCGCCAACAAGCAAAUCAUACUUCAUCUUGACACGAGGAAUAGGGCAUUCAAAGCUCCCAAUAAGAAUCGAUGAAGUUUUUUCGAUAACAUUGAUGCAAUGUACUCGAUAUUGUUUCUUCGGAAAGUGCACCGUAUGCCCAUUACCGUUGACAUGGGAAGUGACAUUUCCUUUGUUGCAAUCUAUAACAGCCCCUGCAGUGUUUAAAAAGGGUCUUCCGAGGAUGACAGCCAUGGCAUCGUCCUCGGGAAUAUCCAAGAUAACAAAGUCUGUUAAGAUAGUGGUGUUAGCAACCACAACAGGCACAUCCUCGCAAAUGCCGAUAGGGAAAGCAGUUGAUUUGUCGGCCAUUUGCAGAGAGAUUUAAGUGGGUGUCAACUUAUCCAAUUGAAGUCUAUGAUAAAGAGAGAGAGGCAUAACACUGGCUCCAAGGUCGCAUAACGCAGUUCUAACGUAGUUGCCUUUAAUGGAGCAAGGUAUAGUGGGCACACCGGGAUCACCUAGUUUCUUAGGAGUUCCACCCUUGAAAGUGUAAUUGGCAAGCAUGGCGGAGAUCUCAAGAUCAGGUAUCCUCCUCUUAUUAGGCACAAUAUCUUUAAUGUACUUAGCAUACGGAGAUAUCUUGAGCAUAUCCGUCAAACGCAUCUGCAGAAAGACAUGUCUGAUCAUUUCAACGAAGCGCUCAAAAUCCUCAUCAUCCUUUUUCUUGGAUGGUUUGGGAGGAAAGGGCAUAGGUUUCUGAACCCAUGGUUCCCUUUCUUUACCAUGCUUCCUAGCAGUGAAGUCAUUCUUAUCGUAUCUCUUAGUCUUAGGCUGUGGGUUAUCAAGAUUAGGUUCAAUCCCCACAUCCUUUUCGUUGCUAGGUUGAGCAUCUUCAUGAACAUCACUAUUGAUAUUAUCAUUAGGCUUAUGUUCAUCACCAGAUUGUGUUUCAACAUCAGAGACAGAGACAUCGUUUGGACUCUCAGGUGUAGCAGCAACAGGGUUGCUAGCGUGCACGUUCCUAUCAUCUUUCUUCUUCUUUCUAGGAUGACUAGGUGCAUCAGUGCUAACUUCUCGAGAAUCUUGUUCAAUUCUCUUCGGAUGACAGGAUACAGAGGUUCCUGGGUCAUUCUACCGCCUCUAGUGACGACUCUGACAGAAUUGUCAUUCAACUCAUUGAGCAAGUCAUUUUGAGCUUUAAGUACUUGUUCUACCUGAGUAGUAACCAUAGAGGCAUGUUUACUUAGAAGCUUAAGAUCAUUGACGUUUCUGUCUACACAAGCACUUAAAUGACUAAGCAUACGAGCAUUCUGUUCCAAUUGUCUGCUAACAUAAUCAUUGAAACUCUGUUGUUUGGCAACAAAGUUAUCAAAUUCAUCCAUGCAUAGGCUAGCAGGUUUAUCAAAAGGAAUAUCACUCUCAUCAAACCUACGCAGAGAAUUUACUUCUACUACCUGUAUCGGGUUAUCGAGACCAUGGAUCUCUUUGAUAGGUGGUAGAUUUUUGACAUCUUCAGAUUUAAUGCCUUUCUCUCGCAUAGAUUUCUUGGUUUCUUGCAUAUCUUCAGGACUGAGGAAUAUAAUACCUCUUUUCUUCAGAGUUGGCUUAGGAGGUGGUUCGGGAAUAGUCCAAGCAUUCUCAUUGCACAAGAUAUUAUUCAAUAUGAUCUCAGCUUGUUCUAUAGUUUGUUCCCUAAAAACACAACUGGCACAACUAUCUAGGUGGUCUUUAGAAGCACCAGUAAGUCCAUUAUAGAAGAUAUCAAGUAUUUCAUUCUUCUCAAGAGGGUGAUCAGGCAAAGCAUUCAGUAGCUGGAUGAGCCUCCCCCAAGCUUGUGGGAGACUCUCUUCUUCAGCUUGAGCAUAGUUGUAUAUUUCCUGCAAGGCAACUUGCUUCUUAUGGGCAGGCAAAUAUUUUUCAGAGAAGUAGUAGACCAUAUCCUGGGGGCUACGCACACAACCAGGAGCAAGAGAAGUGAACCAGGUCUUAGCAUCAUCCUUUAGCGAGAAAGGAAACAGCUUGAGCAUAUAGUAGUGGCGGAUCUUUUCCUCACUAGUGAAUAGGGUGGCUAUAUCGUGCAGCUUGGUAAGAUGGGCUACAACCGUUUCAGACUCAUAACCGUGAAAAGGAUCAGAUUCGACCAGAGUGAUUAACUCAGGGUCGACAGAGAAUUCAUAAUCCUUAUCGGUCACAAAGAUAGGCGAAGUGGCAAACUUCGGGUCGUAUUUCAUCCUAGCGUUCAGAGAUUUUUCUUUCCACUUGUGCAAUAGUUUCUCAACAUCAUAGCUAUCCUUACACGCAAGAAAGUCCUCAACUAUCUCUCCCUCCAUAACAUAGUGUGUAUCAGACAUAACAGGCAUAGUAGCAGGUUCUACUUCAAUAGUAUCAUCAGUUUCAGAAGUAUCAUCACAUCUAGCAGCAACUCUAGCAAUAUGUGCAUCAAGGGCACCUAGUGGCAAAGCAGUAUCAGGCAUAGCAUCAUCAGGCAUAGUAUCAAGCAUAGCAUCAUCAGGCAUAGUAUCAAGCAUAGCAUCAUCAGGCAUAGUAUCAAGCAUAACAUCAUCAUAAGCAUCAUGGGCAGCAGAAGUAGCAUCAUCAAGCACAUGCGACAUAUCAAGAUUUCUAGCAAGAGGCGAUAUCGCAAACUUACUCAUAACGGAAGGUGAAUCAAGUGCAGAGCUAGAUGGCAGUUCCUUACCUGUCCUCGUAGUGGAAGGCAAGACUUUAGUUCUUGGAUCUAUCAGAUUCCUCGUAGUGACCAGGAGACGUCAAUCCCAAGUGACUCAGAGAAUAUAGUUGUGCCUCCCCGACAACAGCGCCAGAAAAAGGUCUUGAUAACCCACAAGUGUAGGGGAUCGCAACAGUUUUCGAGGGUAGAGUAUUCAACCCAAAUUUGUUGGUUCGCCAAAGGGGAAGCGAAAGAAUAUUCUCAAGUAUUAGCAGCUGAGUUUGUUAGAUUCAACCACACCUGAAAGAUUAGUGUCUGCAAGCAAAGUAUCAGUAGCAAAGUAGUAUGAUAGCAACGGUGUCAUAAACUAUGUGUUGACGGCAGACGAUUCCUAACUCUUGUAUCAAUGGCGCCAGUAGGUUGCACGUGAGCGAGUAACUAUUCUUCCCCGACAACAGUGUCGAAAAAGGAUGUUGCAACAAGUAACAACGAAGUAGCAAGGAACAGCAGUAGCAGCAACAGCAGCAGCAGCAGAGUAACAGCAGUAGCAACAGUAGUAGCAAAGUGACAGGAGUAGCAGCAAAGUGGCCCAAUCCCUUUCGUAGCAAGGGACAAGCGAGGACAAAGUAACAUAGCAAGGACCAAUAGUAAAAGACUCGUAGGAAGUGGAUCGGUGAUGGAUGAGUAUGACAGAUGUGAUUCAUCAUGUAACACCUAUAACACGGAGAGAUAAGUAACUAACUCCCGUUCGUCAAUCUAAUGUAGGCAUGUAUUCCGUAUGUAGUCAUACGUGCUUAGGGAAAAGAACUUGCAUGCCAUCUAUUGUCCAUCCCUCCCGUGGCAGCGGGGUCCUAAUGGAAACUACGAGAUAUUAAGGUUCUCCUUUUAAUAAAGAACUGGACCAACACAUUAACACUUGGUGAAUACAUGAACUCCUCAUACUAUGGUCAUCUCCGGGAGUGGUUUCGGCUAUUGUCACUCCGGGGUUGCCGGGUCAUAACACAUAGUAGGUAACUACAACUUGCAAGAUAGGAUCUAAAACACACAUAUAUUGGCGACAACAUAAGAGGUUCAGAUCUAAAAUCAUGGCACUCGGGCCCUAGUGACAAGCAUUAAGCAUAGCCAAGUAGUAGCAACAUCAAUCUAGAACAUAGUGGAUACUAGGGAUCAAUCCCCGUCAAAACUAACUCGAUUACAUGAUAGAUCUCAUCCAACUCAUCACCGUCCAGCAAGCCUACGAUGAGAUUACUCACGAACGAUGAAGAGCAUCAUGGAAUUGUCGAUGGAGGAAGGUUGAUGAUGACGAUGGCGACGAUUUACCCUUUCCGGAGCCCCGAACGGACUCCAGAUCUGCCCUCCAGAUGAACAACAGGAGGUGGCGGCGCCUCCGUAUCAUAAAACGUGAUGAAACCUUCUCUCUGAUUUUUUUCCGGGCGAGACGGAAGAUAUGGAGCCGAGUUUGGGGGCGGUGGUGCCACGUGGGCCCCACAAGCCCUCACGGCGCAGUGUAGGGGGGUGGCCGCGGGCCAGGGGCUUGUGGCCCACUGGCACGCCCCCUCCGGUGGAUCUUUGCGUAGGUAUUUUUCUUUUAUUCCAGAAAAAAUCUUCGUAAAUUUUCAGGACAUUCCGAGAACUUUUAUUUCUGCACAAAAACAACACCAUGGCAAUUCUGCUGAAAACAACGUCAGUCCGGGUUAGUUCCAUUCAAAUCAUGCAAAUUAGAGUCCAAAACAAGGGCAAAAGAGUUCGGAAUAGUAGAUACGACGGAGACGUAUCAGUGCCAAGUAAAGCCUUUGGGAUACUGUGGAUACAUGCUAGUUUGAUUCUGUGCAAGAACAUGAACUUUUACGUCUAGUGCAGGAUUUCUAUGAUUUUACCCGAGCGUUAAAAAAAUAUGAAAUAUUGACACAGUUUUGGUAUACAAAUUCUCUUUGUUUUUCUAAUGUUUCAGAAUUUUUAGAGUCACGGAAGUAUGUUGUUCACUCAGAUCUUCGAAGAUUGUUCUGUUUUCGAUAGAAUCUGUUUUGCAUGCAUAGUUUGCUUGUUUUAAGUGUUUCUAUAGUUUAUAUUGAGUGAUAUAAAUUAUGGAAAUGAUAGAAUACAAUAGUUAUCAUUUGAGAACAAUUAUGAAUCUUGUCAUGGCAGUACCUAAGUGAAUUAUCUAUCUUUAUUACACUAACCCAUUUCAUGAAGUUUCGUAAGUUUUGUGUGAUUGAACUUUUAAAGUUUUGGGUGAGAUACUGAUAUGAGGUGAAUAAGGAGCAGCAAGAAUCUAAGAUUGCAUAUGCCCAAGACACCCCCAAGGUACUAACCCAAGGAAGACUCAAGCAUCUAAGCUUGUGGAUGCCCGAGAAGGAAUCCCCUCUUUCCUCUCCAUCAUUAUCGAUAUAUCUUACUUGGAGCUAUAUUUUUAUUCUUCACAUGAUAUGUGUUUUGCUUGGAGCAUCGUUUUUUUUCUCUAUCACAUGUUAUUUAUAAUAUUCUUUUUCAAUAAAAAGUUCCAAGAAUUGCCUUUAGAAUGCUUGAAUUGCAUGUGUGAUGUGUGUUGUACAAAACAGAAACUUUUGCUGUAUUAUUUGAAUUAUCAGAUUUUAUUCGAACCUGGAAAGUUUUUAAAAUUCUUACACAGUAUUGUAAUGCAAAUUUUUUACCACUUCCUAAUUUUUCAGAAAUUUUGAAGUUACACAUGUACACUGUUUUAAUAGAUUGCUAUAGAUUGUUCUGUUUGGACAAAUUACUGUCAUAGUUUUGUUAUCUACUUAUCCUAGAGUUUUCAUGGCUUAUAUUAAUAGAAAUAAAUUUGGUAAAUGAUGGUAUAUAGUAACUAUUGUUUGAAAAUUAUUAUGCAAUUUGUCUUGGCAGUACAUGAAGUGUUGAUUUAUUCUUAUGUGUACUAACCUAUCUCACGAGUUCUUUUCAAGUUUUGUGUGGAUGAAGUUUUUGAGACUUAGGUGAAAUCGGGAUAUAAGAGGAUUGAAUAAGAUACAAAAGCUCAAGCUUGGGGAUUCCCAAGGCACCACAAGUAAAUAUUUCAAGAAGUCUCAAGCAUCUAAGCUUGGGGAUGCUACGCAUCCCACCUCUCUUCGUCAACAUAUAUCGGUUAGCCUAUGUUGAGCCUAAAUUUUUAUUUGUCCACAUGAUAUGUGCUAUUAUUGGAAGUUCAUUUUUGUUUUGUUUUCUGUUUGAAAUAAAAUAUUAGAUCUGGAAAUCUUUAUUGAGAGAGAGAGAGAGUCCUCACAUAGCUACUUGAAUGUUUGACUACUCAUUGAUCUUCACUUAUAUCUUUUGAGAGUAGUAUGAUGUUUACUCUUGUGCUUCACUUAUAACCUAAGAGUAAAUUGUGAAUGAAUGAAAUAUCAUAAAUCUGAAAUUACCAAUGUGCUUUAUGCCUUGUAGUAGUUUCACAUUUGGUUUAGAAAGUAAAAUCUAUUGAAGUUUGACAAUCGCUCUAUUGGUUAUAUGAGCAAUUCAUGAAUGAUUAGUAUAAGAAAGAGAACUUUCACAUACAAAUAUAUUACCCGGGACAUCUUUUAUGAUUGUGAGUACCCAUCAAUUAUUUCCAACCUUGAUCAAAUAAUUGAAGUUGGACAAGGAAGACAACGUAAUGGUUAUGAUUGGGUAUAUUUGCAUAGAAGUUUUAUUGUUAUGGAUCCUCCAACAUGUGGUGCUUGUUUAGAACCUUUUGCUAGCCAAAACUUCGUACUAAGUAGAAAUAUUACUUGUGCAUCCAAAUCCUUGAAGCAAGUUUCUUCCAUGAGAGUCCACCAUACCUACCUAUAUAUGGUAUUUCACUGCCAUUCCAAGUAAAUUUGCAUGUGCCAAUUCUAAACAUUCAAAUAAACAUUCGUUUUGUGUGCCCGUACCGCUCAUGGAGCGACGGGGUGGUCAUUAUCUUCCAUGCUAAGCGAGUUAUUCUCGAGAUGAGUGUUUAUUCACUUGUCGUUGCACGAGAGAGGCUGGUAAAAAGGAUGCCCACUCUUGCAUAAUACAAAAAUAAAUGAACAAGAACCCCCCCUAGAAAGUUGGUUGUUUGGAGGGCACCCAUGGAUAUGGCUAGCCAUGGAAUAUGUUUGAAUGGUUGAGGGAGAGUAAAAUUUCAAUUCUAUUUGGGAACCACCAAUAAUGUAAACAAUAUGGAUGAUAUUGAAAAUUAUGUUGCGACGUUGACAAGAAAUGCACACCACCCGAAGUUACAUAUUCAUCUCUGUUUUAAAACAAUGAGCUCUCGCACCUGUGCAAAUCCCUGCUUCCCUCUGCGAAGGGACAAUCUAUGUACUUCCAUGUUAUUUAUUUUCAUGUCGGGUCAACACCCUAUUGCAACCUCAAUCUAUUAGUUGGCAAGCACCAUGUGAUGGGGAAAGAUCCAAACAUAUGUAUCCACUCAAAUAUAUUUGAUCAUGAUUCAUUAUUGUUGACAAUUAUCUUUAUGAUAAAUUUGUUGGGAGGCAAAACAUUAAGCCCCUAUCUUUAUUUGCGUUAGAUGGAUGUUAUUUGUUCUAAAAAUAUGCUUUGGGUAUUAACAAUCAUAGAAGACUAUAUGAUAAUUGAGUAUGUGGAGCUCUUACUUAGACUUGAUGAUGCAUUGAAAUUGUUUGAUGACUAAGAACAUAUGAUGUUGAGUUUCAAGAGAAUGCAUUGUUUGAACCAUGACAUGUGAAUUAACUGCUACUCAACCAUGAUGAUUUUUAUGAAAAACUUGGUGGUUAUGAUGCUAGAAAAAGUGAUUGGAGUUAUCAUUGAUCAAACUUAUAUACCAUGCUAGCAUUCAUACUUCAUAAAUUAUUUUUGUUGAUCAUUUACCUACUCGAGGACGAGUAGGAAUUAAGCUUGGGGAUACCGAUACAUCUCCAACGUAUCGAUAAUUUAUGAAGUAUUCAUGCCAUAUUCACCUAUGUUUACAAUACUUUUAUAUGUUUUUGAUGCACUUUAUAUGAUUUAUUUAGAACUAACCUGGACUGACGCUGUUUUCAGCAUAAUUAACAUGGUGUUGUUUUUGUGGAGAAAAUGAAAGUUCUCGGAACCUCCAAAUUUUUUUAUAAUUUUUCUGGGGGAAAUAAGCAAUAUUGGAGUGAAGAAUCACCGAGCCACCUUGGGCCACAAGCCAACAUGGCGCGCCCCUAGGUCGCACCGUGAUGGCUUGUGAGGCCCAUGUGGCUCCGUUUGGCGUGAUUCCAAUGCUGAAAAAUCCUAUAUAUACCAGAAACCCCAGAAAUAAAGAGAGAACUUCCGCUCUNNNNNNNNNNNNNNNNNNNNNNNNNNNNNNNCUCUUCCGCCGAAACUCUCUGUAUCGAUGAAAACCCAAUUUGGAAAUGUUCUAGUACCCUGUCGGAGAGGGGAAAUCAUCUCCGAUGGCCAUCUUCAUCAUCCCGGCGGAGGCCAUGACGGGGAGGGAGUAGUUCACCCUCGGGGCUGAGGUUUUGUACCAGUAGCUAUGUGUUUAAUCUCUCUCUCUCUUUGUCGUGUUCUUGAGAUGUCACGGUCUUGAUGUAUCAUGGGCUUUAUUAAUAUAGUUGGAUCAUAUGGUGUUUGUCCCCUUGCUAUUGUUAUGAUGAAUUGAAUCUUUCACUUUAGGAUCUCGUUAUGUUGGAUUGACUUUUCAGGUUGAGAACAUUUGAUGUAUGUCUUGCAUGCGGAUACUCGUAGUGACAUUGGGGUAUUCAAGUGAUUCACUUGAUAUAUGUUAUGACAUCAAAUUGCGGAUUCCAGUGACCUUGGGGAUCUAUGCAUAGGGGUUGAUUGCACGUUUUCAUACUAUGUUCUCUUAUACAAAUCUUGGGGUGCUCCUUGAAGUUCUUUGUGUUGGAUUGAUAUUAUAGAUCUAAAAUUGUUUGAUGUGUGUCGCAUAAUUUACCCAUGGAUACUUGAGAUGACAUUGGAGUAUCUAGAUGGCAUUAGGGUUGAUUGAUAUGUAUCAUGGGUGUUAUUCUAGUACGAACUCUAGCGUUGUUUGUGACACUUAUAAGAAGAGCUCAAAAGAUUGACCAGAAAGUAUAACUUUGAGGUGGUUCUACUACCUAUACCAAUUUCAUCUUAUUGUUCUCCUAUCGGGGGGAUAACCCCGGGGUAGGCUCAUCAAGCUUGCUCCUUCAUUUCCGACCCAAAGGACAUGAACAUAUACAGAUCCCCAAGGCCCCAAGUCUUCCGGCCGGCUAGGCAGCGCCUACCGGCUAGAGGACGAAGCGGCCAUCCCUCUGGCCGGCCAGGCAACCCCUACCAGCUAGAGUCGAGGCGGCUACCUCUUCUGAGCCGGCCUGGUCCAGACAACCCGACUAGGAGUGAGGCGGCCGCACCCAAGCCGGCUAGCCAAGCAGGCUAGCCGGCCGAAGAUCACAAGUCACAUCAGGUCGUAGGUCAGGAUGAGACCUUACGAUUAAAGGUAGCUACGCGUCAGCAAAGGUACUGGAUCGGGGCGUCCGGCAGGUACGAGCGUCGGCGGCCAUGCCGCUGACCUACCUCGGCUCUGAUCCAUCACCUAGCAUAGUAUCGGACCGUCGCACUCCCACUCCAUUACUGCACUCGGUGUGGGAACAGUGGAGGCGGCCGUACCUCCUGCCCAUGACGAAUCUCGAUGGACGACGCUUGACAUACAACGCGUGCUCGGCGUCAACCUUACGCGAGAGCUUCAUUGGCCAGUCGGCGGGUCCCACUGCCAAUCGAGACCAUGCAGCCGGCGGGCCCCUCAAGCGACAAGACAAGACUCUAGUGGGCCCCUGGCCAGCCGGUGAGGCUGCCAGCCGGGUCCCACACUUGUACCCUUUAUCCAUAUUGUAGGCCGGCGGGUUCGUCUAUAAACCCCCCGGUCGCCCUCCAUGCAGGGGGGCGAUCAUUACACAGUCGAACAACACCCUACACUCACUAACCACAGAGAGAGAGGCAGAGACGAGCCGACUGCUCCCCUCUUCCUCCUCCCAACACAGCUCUAGGAGCAACUUUGUACUCUGUUCAUACACAUCAAACACUCCGGCAGGACUAGGGGUAUUAUCUCUACGGAGAGCCCUGAACCUGGGUACAUCGUGCGUUCCAUGCGUGUACCAACCUCGUUCCCAUCGUCCACCUUUGUCCCUUCGGUUCUCACCGAAUUUAGCCUACCUAUGGCAUAUGUUGUGAGUAUUCACCGACAUUUGGCGCCCACCGUGGGGCCGAUCGCGGCAUCGACUGGCUUUACGCGCUGGGCGGGCCCCCGCACCUACACCACCGGAUGCAUCGCGUCCGGAUCAGUUUGCAUGCCCGUGGAGCCCGCUUUCGACGAGGCAACACCCAUGAUGAUCGACGUCCCCGUCCGCCAUGCGGAUUCGGACAAAGAUUCUGAUGAGGAGGCGCUCCCUAGCGUCGUUGUCGCUGCUAUGGAGAACCUCAGCGUUCUCUUCAGCGACCUACGUAUCAACGACGGUCCGCGCUACUUCGGCAAGGACUUCGACGUUGAGGCGCUCUGUGCCAGCUUCAGCAGGCUCUCUAUCGCUGAGAUGCCUCCCCACGACGUAUAUCCCAGCAACAUCCUCGUCUUUGACAGCCCUCCGCCGUCGAUGGGGUUAUUUACCCCAUACCACGUUGCUGUCGUCUCCAACACCGUGGAAGUGAUGGUUAUCGGCACCGGCACCAGCACGGCUCCCGACAAGGCCUCAGCAGGUGCUGGUGAGCCCGCCACUGCCACCACCGAUACUCUUCAGGACGCCAUCGCCGGCCUGAGGACACUCAUCACCGCUUCCGCAAACCCUGCUGACGCUCGGGCCUCGCUAGAGGAGGCUCGCAAGCAUAUCCUAGAGGAGGGCAUUGCCGUAGUUUCGGAGAAACGUCGGAUGGAGGCUACGCAGUGCAAGUAUAACUCCGCAUACGGCCUUACUCCGAUUUCCAGGCCCCUAGUCGGCUUGGAUCGGUCCGCAGCCGCGGCCGGUUCAUCGCCGAAGUCCUAGGUGGCGAUCUGCCCACCUACGAGACCCCUGCGGCCAACAUGCGAGCGGCUCAGGCAGCCAUGGAGGAGAUGGCGAGCCUGGAAGGCGAUGAGCAUGCUUCCGGGAGAAGCGGGUCAAGGACCUCCUGGACGCCGCCAACCAGCAACACGCUCGAUGCGACCCCAGUCAAGAUCAGUCGGAGUCUCCGGGACCCAACCCCGCAGCAUGCCGCAACCCUAGCGGUUAGCAUCAUGCAGAAGGAUCUUCCUCGCAUCGCCCUUCUGGCCGAAGGGGCGAGGGAAGCCAAGACCGGCGCUCUCAUCGCCAGAGCGAGCACACUUCGGGCUUGCGUCACGGAGGCGACGAGGGUGAUUCGGAGUGUGAGAUUCUUCCUCCGUGAAGAACUCACGUCUCUGGUUCGCGAGGCGCCUCCCCUCUCGCCACUCGGGCUGGCGCUCACGCCACCCAGGAUGAUCGGGAUGCUCGUCGACGUCUCAUCAUCCUGGCCCAGUCACCCCUCCUAGAGGAAGACGGUCCCGUCGGUCUGGCCUGCUUCGGCCCCCGGAUCCGAGGGGAGCCGUUCCCCCGAGGUUUCACCUUGCCUCGGGACACGCCCAAAUACAAUGGCAUGGCCAAGCCAGAGGACUGGCUGAUUGACUACACCACGGCUGUCGGCAUUGCCAGGGGCAACAAGCGCGUAGCAGGCCGCUACGUGCCACUCAUGCUGACCGGCUCGGCCCGGACUUGGCUUAACAGUCUCCCGGCCCGCAGUGUCAACUCCUAGGUGGACUUCGAGGAGGCGUUCGUCCGCAAUUUCACUGGCACCUACAAGCGCCCGGGCCAGCCCCGCGAGCUGGCCAUGUGCAUCCAGAAGCUCGACGAACCCUUCGCGACUACGUCACCCGGUGGACGGAGCUCCGUAACUCCUGCGAGGGGGUGCAUGAAGUACAAGCCAUCCAGUACUUCAUCGACGGUUGCCGAGACGGCACCCUCCUCAAGCACAAGCUUAUGUGCUCCAAGCCCACGUCCCUGGCGGUGCUCAUGGCAAAGGCGGACAAAUACGCCACGGCCGACUUGGCGAUGCGCGUCAAAGUUACUGCCUUGGACAAAGCUGUACCUACGCCGACUACUCCCAAGCCGGCUGGGGACAACCGAGGCGGCCAGAACAACUACAAGCGCAAGGCAGAUCAGACGGAUUCCCGCUCCAACAGCAAGUUGGUGGCCAGCGUGGAGGGCGAAACAUCGGCUCCUCAAGCCGGCCCUCCGCGAAAGCGUCCCGACAGAAGCAACACCAACUGGCUGCCCAAGCAGUCCUUCGAGCAGCUGCUCGAUGCCCCCUGCAAGAUACAUUCUGGGGUGCAGCCAUCUUCCCACACCCUUCGACAGUGUAGCUUUGCACGCCGGCUGUCGCAAGGGGAUGGCCUGCCGGCUCCUCUAGGUGCGCAGGCGGCACCUCAUGCACCGGCUCCCAUCCAUGCUCCGGCCCCGCCGCCGCCGCCUCGCGACGACGGCCACCACCAAGACGACUACCCUCAUCAAGACGGAGCGUUCGUCGUCUUCACCAGUGAAGGCAACGACAAGCACAGCCUGCGCCAGAGGCGGCGCGAGGUGAACGCCAUGGUCCCACCCGGGUUCCCUAGUACAUGCAUUGGUCCGACAAACCAAGCACAUGGAGCCAGGUGGACCAUCCUGCGGUGAUGCCCAACCCGGGAUCGUACGCACUCGUCCUCGACCCCACCUUUGCCUCCAAGAGGCUCACCUGCCGAUUCUCCUGGGUGUUGGUCGACGGCGGCAGCAGCAUCAACAUCCUCUACCUUGACACUCUCCUCAAGCUCGGACAAAAGGAGACGGACGUCCUACCGACCAGUACUAUCUUCCAUCGCAUCGUGCCUGGGCAGUCCUGCUCGCCCAUUGGUAAGAUCCAGCUGGACGUCCUCUUCGGCGACAAAGCCCACUUCCACCGAGAGUCUGUAAGGUUCGAGGUAGUGGAUCUCAGCAGCCCGUAUCAUGCGCUGCUGGGAAGACCGGCUCUGGCCAAGUUAUGGCUAUUCUGCAUUAUGCCUACCUGAAGAUGAAGAUGCCGGGUCCCAAGGGCAUCAUCACUGUUGUUGGCGAUUACAAGAAGUCGCUCGAGUGUGCCCAAGAUAGCAGCCGCCUCGCCGACGCCUUGGUGAUUGCUGAGGAGAAGCGGCAGAUCGACCGGCUCGUGGCCCAGGCUACUAAGCAGCCGGCGAUUCCUUCUCCUCCGUCCCAUUCGGCCGGCGAGGGCUCUUUCAAGCCGACUAAAGAGACCAAGCAGGUCCCACUCGACCCUGCCAACCCAAAGCAGUGCGUCACCAUCGGGGCUGGCCUCAGCCCCAAAUAGGAAGGCGAGCUCGUCGACUUCCUCCGUGAGAAUCGGGACAUCUUUACAUGGUCCCCCAAGGACAUGCCGGGUGUUCCGAGGAAGUACGCCGAGCACAAACUUCACGUGCGACCGGAUGCAAAGCCGGUGAAACAACCCUUGCGCCGCUUCGCCGAGGGGAAGCGACGCACGAUCGGAGAAGAGAUCACCCGGCUCCUUGCAGCCGGCUUCAUCAUGGAGGUUUUCCACCUGGACUGGCUGGCCAAUCCAGUCCUGGUGCUGAAGAAGAACAACACCUGGCGAAUGUUUAUUGACUACACUAGCCUGAAUAAGGCUUGUUCGAAAGACCCUUUUGCGUUGCCUAGGAUAGAUCAAGUGAUCGACUCCACUGCAGGCUGCGAAUUGCUAUCAUUUCUGGAUGCUUAUUCGGGCUACCAUCAAAUCAAGCUGGAUCCAGCUGAUCGCCUGAAGACCUCCUUCAUCACACCCUUCGGGGCCUACUGCUACACCACCAUGACGUUCGGUCUGAAGAACGCAGGUGCGAUGUUCCAACAUUGCAUGCAGUAGUGCCUACUGCCACAGAUCGGCAGAAACAUCCACGUCUAUGUGGAUGACAUCGUCAUCAAGACGAGGCAGCACUUCAGCCCCCUCGACGACUUGUGGGAGAUGUUCGCCAACCUGCGCGAGUACAAGAUCCGGCUCAACCCGGAGAAGUGCGUCUUCGAGGUUUGAUGUCAGCUAUGCUAAUGCAACGAAAGACCUUCCAAUGGCGCCAGAAAUAGGCACGUUUAUGGGAGAAUACUUGAUUUGAUCCUCCUCGGAAAUACUUCUGCCACGGUUAUGCCUUAAGGGACUUCCUAGGAAAGUAUGCAAACGAUUACCCCCGUGGCCUUGGAGCCUUGCGUUGGUGUUCCCUCGAAGCGGAAAGGGUGAUGUAGCGUAGCGCUGGUAAGUACUUCCCUUAGUUUGAGAACCAAGGUAUCGAACCAGUGGAGGAGUAUCACAAGUGCCUGCACAAACACAAAGAGCUUGCUCCCAACGCUGUGAAGGGGUUGUCAAUCCCUUAUAGAUUGUUUGCCAAGUGAGAACUGAAAGUAACAAAGUAACAAAGCAAAGUAAAAGCGGAGGUGUAACCGAUGGUUGUGAAUAGACCCGGGGGCCGUAGUGUUUACUAGUGGCUUCUCUCAUGAAAGCAAGUAGACGGUGGGUGAACAAAUUACUGUCGAGCAAUUGAUAGAACCAGGCAAAGUCGUGACGAUAUCUAUGGCAAUGAUUAUAUCUAUAGGCAUCACGUCCAAAAGAAGUAGACCGAUACUUUCUGCAUCUACUACUAUUAUUCCACACGUCGACCGCUAUCCAUCAUGCAUCUGGUGUAUUAAGUCCAUAAGAACAGAGUAACGCCUUAAGCAAUAUGACAUGAUGUAGAGGGAUAAUCUCAAACCAAUGAUGAAAACCCCAUCUUGUUACCCUUGAUGCCAACUACUUGAUGUGUGCCUUGCUGCCCCUACUGUCACUGGGAAAGGUCACCACAUGGUAGAACACAAAACCAAGCACUUCUCCCAUUGCAAUAAUUAUAGAUCUAGUUGGCCAAACAAAACCCAAGACUCGGAGAGACUUGCAAGGAUAUCAAAUCAUGCAUAUAAGAAAUCAUCAAAGACUCAAAUAUAUAUCAUAGAUAAUAUGAUCACAAAUCCACAAUUCAUCGGAUCUUGACAAACACACCGCCAAAGAAGAUUACAUCGGAUAGAUCUCCAUGAAGAUCAUGGAGAACUUUGUAUUGAAGAUCCAAGAGAGAGAAGAAGCCAUCUAGCUACUAACUACGGACCCGUAGGUCUGAAGUGAACUACUCACGAGUCAUUGGAGGGGCGAUGAUGAUGAUGAAGAAGCCCUCCAACUCCAAAGUCCCCUCCGGAAGGGCAUCGGGAAGGGUCUCCAAAUGAGAUCUCGCGGAAACGGAAGCUUGCGGCGGCGGAAAAGUAUUUUCAAGGCUCCCCUGAUUUUUUUCUGAAUUUUUGGGAAUAUAUAUGCCAAGGAUCUAGGUCAGGGGCGGCCAGGGAGGCCACAAGCCCUCCCCCCGCCGCCUCCCCCUGGUGGCGGAGUGGGAGCUUGUGGGCUCCCUGGAGCCCACCUCGCUUGGCCCACAGGCCCCCUGAUCUUCUUCCGUUCGGGCAAAAAUCAUUUUGGGGUUUUUAUUCCGUUUGGACUCCGUUCCAAAAUCAGAUCUGAAAAGAGUCAAAAACACAGAAAAAACAGGAACUGGCACUUGGCACUGAAUUAAUAAGUUAGUCCCAAAAAAGAUAUAAAAGGUACAUAAAACAUCCAAAGAUGACAAGACAACAACGUGAAACCAUAAAAAAAUUAUAGAUACGUUUGAGACGUAUCAGGGUUCCAGGCGGCAAACUCUUGGGCUUCUUCGUGUCCGCCCGCGGUAUCGAAGCGAACCCCGAGAAGAUCGGCACCAUCGAGCGGAUGGUGCGGCCGGCUCAAAUCCUCGACGUCGAGAAGUUUGCCGGCUGCUUGGCAUCCCUUAGCCGGUUCGUCAGCCGGCUUGGCGAGAAGGCCCUUCCACUCUACUAGCUCAUGAAGAAGACAACGAAGUUCGAGUGGAACAACCAGGCGGACGAAGCCUUCCGCGACCUCAAGCGGGUAAUCUCGAGCGUGCCAAUCUUGCCAGCGCCGUCUGAAAGGGAACCCAUACUCAUAUACAUUACGGCAACCACUCGCGUGGUUAGCGUAGUGUUGGUAGUUCAGCGUAAAGAGGAGGGCAAGGCAUUGCCAGUGCAGCGCCCUGUCUAUUACCUUAGCGAGGUCUUGUCCGCCUCUAAGCAGAACUAUCCGCAUUAUCAAAAAAUGUGUUAUGGUGAUUACCUUGCUGCAAAGAAGUUGAAGCAAUACUUCCAAGAGCAUGCCAUCAUCGUGGUAAGCACUGCUCCACUUUCAGAGAUCAUGGGCAACCGUGAUGCCACGGACAGGAUUGCCAAAUGGUCCAUCGCUAUGGCGGAUCACGAUAUCCGGUACGAGCCCCGUACCGCCAUCAAAUCUCAGGUGGUGGCUGAUUUCUUAGUCGACUGGGCCGAGACCCAGUUUGAGCCACCACCUCCAGACUCCACACAUUGGCAGAUGCACUUCGACGUCUCGAAGAUGCAUAGGACUAGGAUCCGGCAUCGUCUUAACGUCUUCGAAAGGGGACCAGCUCAAGUAUGCUCUCCAGAUCCAUUUUGCCGCCUCCAACAACGUCACCGAGUACGAAGCACUUGCUCAUGGCCUACGGCUUGCCAAGGAGAUCGGCAUCCGGCAGCUCAUAUGCUUCGGCGAUUCAGACUUGGUGGUGUAGCAGGUCUCUGGCGAAUGGGACGCCAGGGACGCCAACAUGGCGAGCUACCGCUUCCUCAUUCAGCAGCUCAGCGGCCCCUUCGAGGGCUGUGAGUUUCACCACAUUCCCAGGGCGGAAAAUGAGGCGGCCUAUACACUGGCGAAGAUCGGCUCCACGAGACAGGCCAUUCUAGCCGGCGUCUCCCUCGAGCAACUCCAUAAGCCGUCUAUCAAGCCGUCUCCCAAGUCGGCAUCGAUCUUUGUGCCGGCUGACUCUGCGGUGCAAGCGCCGUCGGCUCCAUCAGCUACGCCAGCUGCGGUGCCCACGCCGGCUGCGCUGACUACGCCGACUCCAAUAGCGGCACCGGCUGAAUCCAUGGUGCAAGCACCAUCGGCUCCACCAACUACGCCAGUUGCAGUUCCUAUGCCGGCUCUAUUGGCCCCACCGACUCCAAUGGCGGCACCGGCUACGACAACAACCCCGGCUCUGCCUGGACUCGAAUCCUGUCGUUGCGACACCCGGUGGGUGGACGUCAUGGAGAUAGACGGUGAGCAAGCUGCCGCGGCAGCACCAGAGACACCUUGUCUCGAGUCUACAACCACGGCUCCAUCAAGCUCGAGGGCUGCAGAAGCCCCCAACAGUCAGGACGAGGCGGAGGCGACCCUUGUGUCGGCUCCAUCAUGGGCUCAAACUAUUCUGGCCUUCCUUCUUCACGGCGAACAUCCUCAAAACGAGGCGGAGGCGAGGCAGAUCUAGCGCAGAUCUGCAGCCUACGCCAUUAUCAAUCGCGAACUGGUACGGCGCAGCGUGACCGGCGUGUUCCAACGCUGCGUAGAAUCAGAAAAGGGACACGAGAUCCUUAGAGACAUUCGCCAGGGGGAGUGUGGGCAUCACACCGCCUCCAGAACCCUGGUGGCCAAGGCAUUCCGCCACGGAUUCUACUGGCCCACGGCUCUCGAGGAGGCCGUGGAUCUGGUCGACAAGUGCGAAGGUUGCCAAUUCUUCAGCGUGAAGAGCCAUAUGCCGCCUUCGGCCCUCAAAACCAUCCCCCUGUCAUGCCCAUUCGUCGUCUGGGGACUAGACAUGGUAGGGCCCUUCAAGACGGCUCGCGGUGGGAUGACGCAUCUCUUGGUGGCCGUCGACAAGUUCACCAAGUGGAUCGAAGCCAGACCUAUCAAGAAGCUCGACGGCCCGACCGUUGUCAAGUUCAUCACAAACAUCUCUGUCCGAUACGGCGUUCCCCACAGCAUCGUCACCGACAACGGCACCAAUGUCGCCAAGGGCGCUCUAGCGCUCUACUGUUCGAAGGUAGGCAUCCGGCUUGAUUUGGCAUCAGUGGCACACCCCUAGUCGAAUGGCCAAGCAGAGAGGGCCAAUGGCAUGAUUCUGGCCGGCAUCAAGCCAAGACUGGUGGCACCACUGGUCAGAUCAGCCGGCUGCUGGAUUGAAGAACUGUCGGCUGUGUUAUGGAGCCUCCGCACCAUGGCCAACCGAUCGACCGGCUUCACUCCGUUCUUUCUUGUAUACGGGUCCGAGGCUAUUAUUCCCACGGAUAUCGAGUUCGACUUGCCUCGGGUCGCCCUAUACACAGAAGUGAAGGCGAAGGAGGCAAGAGAAGACGGUGUGGAUCUCCUCGAAGAAGCAAGGGACUUGGCCUUGAGCCGGACGGCCAUCUAUUAACAGAAGCCGAGAUACUACCACAUCAAAAAGAUCAAGCCUCUCUCUUUCAGGGAGGGAGACUUGGUCCUCAAAAGAAUACAGCGCACUGCCGGCCAUAACAAGCUCUCAUCCCCAUGGGAGGGACCCUUCAUCAUCAGUAGGGCGUUGCACAACAACGCUUACUACUUGAUCGAUGCCCAAAAGCCAAGGAAGCGCAAGAGGGACGACUCCGGCCAAGAAACGGAACGUCCAUGGAACGCGGCGCUGCUUCGCCCGUUCUAUUGCUAGAAGGUAAGAAUCAAACAAGNNNNNNNNNNNNNNNNNNNNNNNNNNNNNNNNAAAGAGCAUGCACAUGUAUCUUUCUCCCUUUUCAGGGAUCAACAGCAAAUGCAAUAAAAAGAGCAUGCCUCAUGUUUCUUUUUAUUGAGAGUUUUCACUCAGUGUACGCCCCCUGACUGGCUUCAAUAAGCUCGGGGGCUACACCGCGUACACCUCUUGCUAGCUUUAUCAAGCUUGGAGGCUACGCAGCGCACACCCCUUGCUGGCUUUAACAAGCUCGGGGCCUCGCUAGCCGCUCGGACGCCUUCCUUAUUGUAAAAGAACACAUAGUGUAACCGGCUGAUCCCUGUUCACCUCAUAUGAGCUUGCGGGAUGGCUCGAGCCGUCUGGCUUGCGAGGUGACGCCAGGUCAGGCCGGAUACAUGCAAAGUUCGGCUACAAAGGGUCGCCGGCUCGGGCUGGCUCGAUCAUAUAUACGAUCUCAUUCAAGCCGACCUCUAUUGGUUUAUGUCUUGUUCUUUAAGUCUUGAUGGCUUCGAAAAAUCUAAGUCUCGUAUUCUAAAAUCAGAAACCUCGACCCAGCCACACACCGGCUCCCGGCUGUCGGGUUGGCGGGAUGGAAGAUUAGGAAUACGAGGAUUGGAGAAAAAGGAGUCAACCAGGAAUCAAAAGACAAGAAUAUGAGACAACACGCAUGGCAAUACAAAUAUAAUGCUGAAUAUAUACAUUCAAAAAAGCAUUGGCCCACCGCCCACGUUCAUUACAUCCCUCCGGGGGUAGAACAAAACACAAAGGACACCGGCUACGGGGCUGCGGCCUCAUCGGUCGCCCCGCCGCUGCUCCUGAUGUGGUAGCUUAACCAUCUCCGGCUGCUCCCGAGGCGGUUGCACCGUAUCCUUCGCGAGGGCUCCCGGCUCCGUCCGCACCGGAGUCGGCGUACGCCGCACCGCUGGAGGCGGCAGCAGAUUCCAUAGCUCGGGCCGCCUCGUCGGAGCUGCCGUCAGGGUCAUAGGGCUGAAGGCCGUGCAGAUCUUCAGCGAUCACACCGCCAUCUUCACCCCGCUCCAAAACAAAAUCGUCCCAGGCUGCGUACUCGGCGAUGUCGGUGGCCCUCACAUGCAGUGCCUCCUCCAUGCCCUGUAGCUCCGCCUCCGAGCCAUCACGCUGGGCGGCGAGUGAUACGUCUCCAACGUAUCUACUUUUCCAAACACUUUUGCCCUUGUUUUGGACUAUAAUUUGCAUGAUUUGAAUGGAACUAACCUGGACUGACGUUGUUUUCAGCAGAAUUGCCUUGGUGUUAUUUUUGUGCAGAAAUCAAAGUUCUCCAAACGUCCUGAAAAUUUACGGGGAGCAGUUUUGGAAAAUAUCAAAAAUAUUUGCGCCAAGUUCCACCUCAGGGGGUGGGCCAGUGGGCCACAAGCCCCUGCUCCGCCACCAAACCCCUCGUGGCGGUGGGCAGGCUUGUGGGGCCCACAGGCACCUGCCGCCCCAACUCCAGCUCUAUAAGUUGUCUUUCAUCCCAGAAAAAUUAAAAAGAGAAGUUUUCGUCGCGUUUUCGAUGCGGAGGCGCCGCCACCUCCUGUUCUUCAUCUGGAGGGCAGAUCUGGAGUCCGUCUUGGGCUCCGGAGAGGGGAAAUCGUCGCCAUCGUCAUCAUCAACCUUCUUCCCUCUCCAAUUACAUGAAGCUCUUCGUCGUUCGUGAGUAAUCUAUUCGUAGGCUCGCUGGGCGGUGAUGAGUAGGAUGAGAUCUAUCAUGUAAUCGAGUUAGUUUUGAUGGGGAUUGAUCCUUACUAUCCACUAUGUUCUGAGAUUUGAUGUUGGUACUACUUUGCCAUGCUUAAUGCUUGUCACUAGGGCCCGAGUGCCAUGAUUUCAGAUCUGAAAUUAUUAUGUUGUCACCAAUAUAUAUGUGUUUUAGAUCCGAUCUUGCAAGUUGUAGUUACCUACUAUGUGUUAUGAUCCGGCAAGCCCGGAGUGACAAUAACCGGAACCACUCCCGGUGAUGACCAUAGUUUGAGGAGUUCAUGUGUUCACCAAGUGCUAAUGCGUUGGUCCGGUUCUUUAUUGAAAGAACCUUAAUAUCCCGUAGUUUCCUUUUGGACCCCGCUGCCACGGGAGGGAAGGACAAUAUAUGUCAUGCAAGUUCUUUUCCCUAAGCAUGUAUGACGACACACGGAAUGCAUGCCUACAUCACAUUGACGAACGGGAGCUAGCCACAUAUCUCUCCGUGUUAUAGCUGUUGCAUGAUGAAUAUCAUCCAAACAAAUCACCGACCCAUUGCCUACGAGUUUGUCCUAUUGCUGUUACUUGUAUUGCUCUGCUUCUACUACUGUUGCGACUGCUAUUACUUGUCUUGCUCUGUUGCUACUACUGUUGCUACUGCUGUUACUUGUCUUGCUCUGCUGCUGCUACUACUACUGUCGGUUGCUACUGUUGCUACUUGCUACUGCUAUCACUAUUGUUGUUCCUUGCCACUGCUAUUGCUUGUUACACUGCCGUUACUCGCUACUUUGCUGUUACUACUGUGCUUGCAGAUACUAAUUUUUCAGGUGUGGUUGAAUCUGACAAAUUCAGCUGCUAAUACUUGGGAGUAUACUCUCACCUCCCGUCGUGCAAACCAACAAAUUGGGUCGAAUACUCUACCCUCGAAAACGGUUGCGAACCCACGCGCUGUGCUGCGAACCCACGCGCUGGUGGGCCGUCAACACCAUUCUUCUAGUUUCAUCACUAGGGAGUGCUAUCAGCAUUCUUCUGGUGCCAUUGCAGGAGAAGGUUUGUUGUUAUAAGCAUUCGUAUAGCUAACGCCAGAGAUUGCACGAUCAACAUUUUUCUGGCGCCGUUGUCGGGGAGGUAUUGCUAUAUUCUCUGAGUCACUUGGGAUUUAUAUCUCCUGAUCACUAUGAACAAUCUGAAGGAUCCGAAGACCAAAGUCUUGCCCUCAAUUACGAGGGGAGGUAAGGAAUUGCCAUCUAGCUCUGCACUUGAUUCACCUUCAGUUAUGAGUAAGUUUGCGACAUCACCUCCUGCUAGAAAUCUUGAUAUGUCGCCUAUGCCUGAUGAUACUAUGCCUGAUACUGCUUUGCCUGAUGAUGCUAGAGAUGCUAUUUUGCCUGAUGAUGCUAUGCUUGACACUGCUAGAGAUAUUCCUUUGCCUGAUGUUCCACUAGGAGUGUUCCUUGAUGCUCAUAUUGCUAGAGUUACUGCCAAUGCUCGUGAUGCCUCUGAUACUGCCGAUACUAUUGAGAUAGAACCUGCUUUUGCUCCUGUUAGAUCUAGCUCUCCUAGAUAUGAAUUGCAUGUUAUACCUGAGGGUUAUGUUAUGGAGGGAGAGAUAGCUAAGGAUUUUCUUGCGUGUAAGGAUGCCUAUGACGCUGAGAAAUUACUUCUCAAGUGGAAGGAAAAAUCUCGGGAAGCUAGGAUGAAAAAUGACCCGAAGUUUGCCACUUCGCCUAUCUUUGUCACCGAUAAGGAUUAUGAAUCAUCUAUCGACCCUGAGAUAAUCUCUCUAGUCGAAUCUGAUCCUUUUCACGGUUAUGAGUCUGAGACGGUCAUACCCCAUCUUGCAAAACUAUCCAAAAUAGCCAACCUCUUCACUAAUGAGGAGAAGAUUCGCCACCACUAUAUCCUUAAGCUAUUUCCUUUCUCUCUAAAGGAUGACGCUAAAGCCUGGUUCACCUCUCUUGCUCCUGGAUGUGUGCGUAGUCCCCAGGAGAUGGUCUAUUACUUCUGUGAGAAAUAUUUCCCUGCCCAUAAGAAGCAAGCUGCCUUGCAGCAAAUAUACAACUUUGCUCAACUCCAAGAAGAGAGUCUUCCACAAGCUUGGGGGAGGCUCGUCCAGCUAGAGAAUGCUUUGCGUGAUAACGCUCUUAAGAAGAACGAGAUACUUGAUAUCCUCUAUAACGGACUUACCGAUGUCUCUAGAGACUACCUAGAUAGUUGUGCCGGUUGUGUUUUUAGGGAACGAACUGUAGAACAAGCUGAGACCCUACUGAAUAACCUCUUGAUCAACGAUAAUGCUUGGACUAUUCCCGAACCACCUCCUAAGCCAACUCCUAAGAAAAGAGGUAUUCUAUUCCUCAGUCCCGAAGAUAUACAAGAAGCCAAGAAAUCUAUGCAAGAGAAAGGCAUUAGAUCUGAAGAUGUCAAAAAUCUACCACCCAUCAAAGAGAUCCACGGUCUCGAUAACCUGAUACAGGUUGUGGAAGUGAAUUCUCUGCGUAGGUUUGAUGAGAGUGAUAUUCCUUUUGAUAAACCUGCUAGCCUAUGCUUUGAUGAAUUUGACAACUUUGUUGCCAAACAACAGAGUUUCAAUGAUUAUGUUAGCAGUCAUUUGGAACAAAGUACUCGUAUGAUUAGCCAUUUAAGUGCUUGUGUAGAUAGAAAUGUCAAUGCUCUGAAGCUCUUGAGUAAACAUGCCUCUAUGAUUACUACUUAGGUAGGACAAGUACUUAAAGCUCAGAAUGACCUGCUCAAUGAAUUAAAUGACAACUCUGUCAGAGUCAUUACUAGAGGAGGCAAAAUGACUCAGGAACCUUUGUAUCCUGAAGGUCAUCCUAAGAGAAUUGAUCAAGAUUCUCAAGGAAUCAAUGCUGAUACACCUAGUCAUCCUAAGGAGAAGAAGAAGGAUGAUAGGAGCCUACACGCCAGUUCACCAAAUACUGUCACACCUGAAGAACCUAAUGAUAUUUCUGCGUCUGAUGCAUAAACACAAUCAGGUGAUGAACAUGAACCUGGUGACAAUAUGGACAGAGUUGUUCAUAAUAAUGCUCAACCUAGCCAUGAUGAGGAUGUGGAGAUUGAACCUACGGUUAAUCCUGAUAAUCCACAACCUAAGAGAUACGACAAGAAUGACUUCACUACUAGGAAGCAUGGUAAAGAAAGAGAGCCAUGGGUUCAGAGACCUAUGCCCUUUCCUCCUAAGCCAUCCAAGAAAAAGGAUGAUGAGGAUUUUGAGCGCUUCGUUGAGAUGAUAAGACCCGUCUUUCUGCAGAUGAGGUUAACUGAUAUGCUCAAGAUGUCUCCGUAUGCCAAGUACAUUAAAGAUAUCUGACCAAUAAACGGAAGAUACCAAAUCUUGAGAUCUCCACCAUGCUUGCCAAUUACACUUUCAAAGGUGGAACUCCUAAGAAACUUGGUAAUCCCGGCGUGCCCACUAUACCUUGCUCCAUUAAAGGAAACUGUGUAAGAACUGCCUUAUGUGACCUUGGAGCCGGUGUUAGUGUUAUGCCACUCUCUCUUUAUCGUAGACUUGAGUUGGAUAAGUUGACACCCACUGAAUUUUCUCUGCAAAUGGCCAACAAAUCAACUGCUUUCCCUAUCGGCAUUUGCGAGGAUGUUCCUGUUGUGGUUUCUAACACUACUAUCUUAACAGACUUUGUUAUCUUGGAUAUUCCCGAGGACGAUGCCAUGGCUAUCAUCCUCGGAAGACCCUUCUUAAACACUGCAAGGACUGUUAUAGAUUGAAACAAAGGCAAUGUCACUUUCCACGUCAACCGUAAUGAGCACACAAUGCACUUUCCGAAGAAACGAUAUCCAGUACAUUGCAUCAAUGCUAUCGAAAAGACUUCAUCGAUUCUUAUUGGGAGCUUUGAAUGCCCUGUUCCUCAUGUCAAGAUGAAGUAUGAUUUGCUUGUUGGGGAGAUUCAUAUCCCCAUUGAGGUGACUUACUGGCUAUCAGAAAAUUCUCCGAUCUCUCUUGCAAUUCGAGAAGGUUUUGUCAUAAGGACUUGAUCAAUCCCAUUGACUGAUUUCUUUCAAUGACCAUGAAACAGAUGAAUCGGAGAGUCACAUACCUCUGUUUUAAGCUUUUCUUUUCUUUUGCUUAGAAGAAAAAUGAUAGAAUUAGUUUAGUUUUUCAUAUUUUCUGUUUUAGCGUCCCGGAGAAAAAUACCUCGAAAAUAAAAGUUCUCCGAUGGUCCUGAAAAUUUAGUAUGAUUUUUUCUGAAAUUUUUGAAAAUUUCUGGGCCUGAGAACUGGCCAGGGGGCCUGACCAGUGGGCCACAAGCCCCCCCCCCCGCCCCUGCCANNNNNNNNNNNNNNNNNNNNNNNNNNNNNNNNNNNNNCUGCCACCUCCCCCCCUGGUGGCGGGGUACAAGCUUGUGGGGCCCACAGGCACCCCCUCCACUCAUUCCAGCUCCCAGCCUCUUCUUCCACCUCUAAAAAAAAUUGUUUCGCAGCUCAAACCCGUGUUCUUGCUCAUUUGGCUGUGAUUUUCGAUCUCCUUGCUCAAAGCACCAUUCUCCGAACCGUUUUGGGGAAAUUACUCCUUGGUAAGUCACUCCUCCAUUGGUCCAAUUAGUUUUUCCUCUAGUGCUUUAUCCUUCGCAAAUUCUUGCUACCUUGGUGACCCUGUUCUUGAGCUUGAAAGGUUGAUUUUAGUGGUCCCAAGUAGUUUUAGCGCGUGAUACGGUCUCUAGGCACUAGUAGGAGUAGUUGCUACAAGUUGGGUUAAUCCUUAUUCACUUUUCUUUCGAAGUCUCUAAAAGUUUCAGAAUUUUUCAGAGCUAGAAAAAGGAAAAGAUGAGGAGGUUCUUGCGAGGCUCUUCAAGCCGUAACCCCAAGGAGGAUGAGAAGAAUUAGCCCAAGUACGUAGUCCCUCGAGUCACAGGAGUUCGAGCGUGCGAGUGGCCAAGUGAUGAAUUUUUGCGCACCGCCGGACUUUAUGAAGACUUUUAUUACUUGGUGGAGAACGCAGGUCUUACUGCGUUCGUUGAAGAUAAGUGCCCACAAUAUCUCCUCCUCACCAAUAUUUUCGUUCAAAGCUUCAACUUUUAUCUGAGGAAGAAUCCUCCCAUGGUUGAGUUCAUGAUAUACGAUGUCCCCCAGUGCAUGAUGUUGCAGGAUUUUGGCAAUUUAUGCAAAUUACCUUAUGUUGGGGAUAUCCGUGACCCUCAUCCACGGGAUUUGGAGGAUUUCAUUGGUUCUAUUGCUGUUGGAGAGGAGAGAGGAGUGUCUCGCACUAGAAUUGCUAGCAUACAUUUUCCUGUGCUUCGGUACUUCUCACUAUUUGUGGGAAAAUGUUUGAUUGGCCGUGGGGAGGCUCGAUCACUUAGUUCUCCAGACCUUGCGGUUUUGCGCGAAGGUCUUUAAAACGAUAAGACUUAUAGCUUGGGCGCUAUAGUCGCUCAACGGUUGAACCUGAAUCGUUCUAAAGGUGUCGUCUAUGGAGGUAUCUAUGCUACCCGUCUUGCCAGACACUUUGAGAUAUCCAUUAGACUGGGAGAGGAAGGAGAGAUGCUUCUCCCUGAGAGAUAUCUGGAUUAUGACAGCAUGGUUCGCCAUGAUUUUCUGGAUAGAGAUUCUAGUAGACGGAUGAUUUAUAACUUGGUGUUUAGUCAGGGUACUCGAGAGACUAUUACUUUGCCUGCUCCUUCUUUGUUUGAUCUUCAUGAAGGAAGGUACACUAUUAUGCCCUCGGAUAUCUACGCAUAUUGGGGCUUGGCCCAACCACAGGCGCCCGUGCCCGAGCCGCCAUUCGAGUACCAGACGCCAGUUUAUCAGUGGGAGCCAGAGGAGCUCACACAGCAGUGGCAUCCACAGUCUGGUCCAGAGUAUCCUGGAGCUGGUUAUUUCCCACCAUGGGAGUAGACCAAGUUAGGCCAAAAGCUUAAGCUUGGGGGAGUACGUGUUCUCACCGAAUUUACAAUCUUGCUUAUGCUUUCACUUUGUUAGCCGGUGUUUACACUUUGCCACUGUAUUAUCCAUGCUAGUUUCUUUUUGUUUUCUUGUUUUCUUGCUUUGUGUCCUUUUGAGAAAACCCAAAAAGAUUUUUCUUUCUUCUUUUGCUUGUUGGGAGCUUUCCCGUGUAAAUAGUUUUCUUUUUCUUUGUGUCAAGGUAGAAGAUAUUGGUUACAAUACUUAGUGGUUCUUACAUGCUUGCAUUCAAUGUUAGUCAAACUCAUUGCAUCUUGAUGACUGUUGUCGCUCUCUAGUUGGUCGCUUCCCAGUCUUUUGCUAGCCUUCACUUGUACUAAGCGGGAUUACUACUUGUGCAUCCACUCCCAUAAACCCAAAAGUUUUUCCAUGAGAGUCCACCAUACCUACCAAUUUGCGGUAUCUACCUGCCGUUCCAAGUAAAUUUGCAUGUGCCGUUCUCUAAACCUUCAAGAAAUAAUAUGUUUUGCAUGCCCGAACCGCUCAUGUGGUGACAAAGGGCUAUUGGUAUCUUCCAUGCUAGGAGUGUUAUCCUCGACAUGUGUUUAUUCACAGUCAUUCACGAGAAAGGGGCCGGUAUUUGGGAUGCCCGGUUCCACGCUUAAAUAAAAAACAUAACUGUAAAACAAGACUCCCCCCGGAUUGAUGUUAGUAUGGACGGUACCCGAGGAUUCAGCUAGCCGUGGAGUGUGAUUGAUUGGUGGUGGGGGAGUUAAAACUUUACUUUUCUGUUUGGGAACCGCCUAUAGCAUGAGUAGCAUGGAAGAUAUUCAGAACUCUUGGUCAUUGCAUUGACAAUGAAAGUAUGCCACCCAAAAUUAUUAUCUCUGUUUUCAAAGCUUGAGCUCUGGCACCUCUGCAAAUCAAUGCUUCCCUCUGCGAAGGGUCUGUCUAUUUAUUUUCCUGUCGAGUCAUCCUCCUCUUAUAUAAGCACCAAUUAGAGAGCACCUGUGUCAUUUUUAUGCUUUGCUUUUGAUUGGUAUUGAGUAUGACUAUGACUGGAUCUUUGUUGCUAUGAAUUACAAUGUUUAGUCAGCCCUUGAUCUUUGAAAGUGCUCUGCAUUUAUGUUUUGCGGUCUCAGAAAGAGCUAGCGAGAUACCACCUAGUCAUAUUGCUUCAUACUUGUCUUGAUUGAAGUGUUGGUAUUUGAAACUCAUUAUUAUUUGCUCGUUAGCUGAUUAUGCCAUUGAUAUUAGUUUACUGUGAGACCUUCGUGUCAUUUGCUUAUGUGGUUAACUUGUGAUCUUGCUGAAAUUCUGGUUAUGAGUUAGACUUAGUUGCAAAAACAAGAUCAAACACAAUUUGUCAAAGUUUUUCUUUCUCUGUCAGUUUGUCAACUGAGUUGCUUGAGGAGAAGCAUGGUUUUAAGCUUGGGGGAGUUGAUACGUCUCCAACGUAUCUACUUUUCCAAACUCUUUUGCCCUUGUUUUGGACUAUAAUUUGCAUGAUUUGAAUGGAACUAACCUGGACUAAGGUUGUUUUCAGCAGAAUUGCCUUGGUGUUAUUUUUGUGCAGAAAUCAAAGUUCUCCAAACAUCCUGAAAAUUUACGGGGAGCAGUUUUGGAAAAUAUCAAAAAUAUCUGCGCCAAGUUCCACCUCAGGGAAUGGGCUAGUGGGCCACAAGCCCCUGCUCCGCCACCACCCCCUGGUGGCGGUGGGUAGGCUUGUGGGGCCCACAUGCACCUCCCGCCCCCAACUCCAGCUCUAUAAGUUGUCUUCCUUCCGAGAAAAAAUAAAAAAAGAAGUUUUCAUCGCGUUUUCGAUACGAAGGCGCCGCCACCUCCUGUUCUUCAUCUGGAGGGAAGAUCUGGAGUCCGUCUUGGGCUCCGAAGAGGGGAAAUCGUUGCCAUCGUCAUCAUCAACCUUCUUCCCUCUCCAAUUCCAUGAAGCUCUUCGUCGUUCGUGAGUAAUCUAUUCGUAGGCUCGCUGGGCGGUGAUGAGUAGGAUGAGAUCUAUCAUGUAAUCGAGUUAGUUUUGAUGGGGAUUGAUCCUUACUAUCCACUAUGUUCUGAGAUUUGAUGUUGCUACUACUUUGCCAUGCUUAAUGCUUGUCACUAGGGCCCGAGUGCCAUGAUUUCAGAUCUGAAAUUAUUAUGUUGUCACCAAUAUAUGUGUGUUUUAGAUCCGAUCUUGCAAGUUGUAGUUACCUACUAUGUGUUAUGAUCCGGCAACCCCGGAGUGACAAUAACCGGAGCCACUCCCGGUGAUGACCAUAGUUUGAGGAGUUCAUGUGUUCACCAAGUGCUAAUGUGUUGGUCCAGUUCUUUAUUAAAAGGAGAACCUUAAUAUCCCGUAGUUUCCUUUUGGACCCCGCUGCCACGGGAGGGAUGGACAAUAGAUGUCAUGCAAGUUCUUUUCCCUAAGCACGUAUGACGACACAUGGAAUGCAUGCCUACAUCACAUUGACGAACGGGAGCUAGCCAUAUAUCUCUGUGUUAUAGCUGUUGCAUGAUGAAUAUCAUCCAAACAAAUCACCGACNNNNNNNNNNNNNNNNNNNNNNNNNNNNNNNNNNNNNNNNNNNNNNNNNNNNNNNNNNNNNNNNNNNNNNNNNNNNNNNNNNNNNNNNNNNNNNNNNNNNGAUAAUCUCAAACCAAUGAUGAAAACCCCAUCUUGUUACCCUUGAUGGCAACUACUUGAUGUGUGCCUUGCUGCCCCUACUAUCACUGGGAAAGGUCACUGAUACGUCUCCAACGUUUCUACUUUUCCAAACUCUUUUGCCCUUGUUUUGGACUAUAAUUUGUAUGAUUUGAAUGGAACUAAAAUGGACUGACGCUGUUUUGAGCAGAAUUGCCUUGGUGUUAUUUUUGUGCAGAAAUCAAAGUUCUCCAAACGUCCUGAAAAUUUACGGGGAGCAGUUUUGGAAAAUAUCAUAAAUAUCUGCGCCAAGUUCCACCUCAGGGGGUGGGCCAGUGGGCCACAAGCCCCUGCUCCGCCACCACCCCCCUGGUGGCGGUGGGCAGGCUCGUGGGGCCCACAGGCACCUGCCGCCGCCAACUCCAGCUUUAUAAGUUGUCUUUCGUCCCAGAAAAAAUAGAAAGAGAAGUUUUCAUCGCAUUUUCGAUACGGAGGCGCCACCACCUCCUCUUCUUCAUCUGGAGGGAAGAUCUGGAGUCCGUCUUGGGCUCCGGAGAGGGGAAAUCGUCCCCAUCGUCAUCAUCAACCUUCUUCCCUCUCCAAUUCCAUGAAGCUCUUCGUUGUUCGUGAGUAAUCUAUUCGUAGGCUCGCUGGGCGGUGAUGAGUAGGAUGAGAUCUAUCAUGUAAUCGAGUUAGUUUUGAUGGGGAUUGAUCCCUAGUAUCCACUAUGUUUUGAGAUUUGAUGUUGCUACUACUUUGCCAUGCUUAAUGCUGGUCACUAGGGCUCGAGUGCCAUGAUUUCAGAUCUGAAAUUAUUAUGUUGUCACCAAUAUAUGUGUGUUUUAGGUCCGAUCUUGCAAGUUGUAGUUACCUACUAUGUGUUAUGAUCCGGCAACCCCGGAGUGACAAUAACCGGAACCACUCCCGAUGAUGACCAUAGUUUGAGGAGUUCAUGUGUUCACCAAGUGCUAAUGCGUUGGUCCGGUUCUUUAUUGAAAGAACCUUAAUAUCCCGUAGUUUCCUUUUGGACCCCGCUGCCACGGGNNNNNNNNNNNNNNNNNNNNNNNNNNNNNNNNNNNNNNNNNNNNNNNNNNNNNNNNNNNNNNNNNNNNNNNNNNNNNNNNNNNNNNNNNNNNNNNNNNNNUGUCGAUGGAGAGACGAGGUCUCCCGGCAGGGCUUCGCCAAGCACCGACGGAGAGGAGGAGGAAGAAGAGCAGGGCUGCGCCGAGAGAGAGGGAAAAACUGUGUCUCAAUGGCCAAAAGUGCCCGGUAUAUAUAGGGGAAGGGGAGAGGGGGUGCCACCCCUAGGGUUCCCACCCUAGGGGGUGCGGCAGCCCCCCCAGAUGGGAGGUGCGGCGGCCAGAAGGGGGAGGAGGGGGUGGCGCACCAUCUGGUGGGCCUUAGGCCCACCUGGCCUAGGGUUUGCCCCCCCUUUUCUCUCCCUUGCGCUAUGGGCUGAGUGGGGAGGCGCACCAGCCCACCUAGGGGCUGGUUCCCACCCCCACUUGGCCCACCAAGGGGCUGGUUCCCUCCCGCACUUGGCCCAUCUAGCCUUUUGGGGUCGUUGCCCCCCUUCGGUGUACCCCCGGGGCCACCUCCGGUGGUCCCGGUACGUUACCGGUGAUGCCCGAAACACUUCCGGUAUCCGAAACCAUCCGUCCUAUAUAUCAAUCUUUACCUCCGGACCAUUCUAGAGCUCCUCGUGACGUCGGGAUCUCAUCCGGGACUCCGAACAACUUCCGGUAACCUCGUAUAACAAUUCCCUAUAACCCUAGCGUCAUCGAACCUUAAGUGUGUAGACCCUACGGGUUCGGGAGACAGGCAGACAUGACCGAGACACCUCUCUGGCCAAUAACCAUCAGCGGGGUCUGGAUACCCAUGGUGGCUCCCACUUGCUCCAUGAUGAUCUCAUCGGAUGAACCACGAUGUCAAGGAUUCAAUCAAUCCCGUACACGAUUCCCUUUGUUUGUCGGUAAGAACUCUGUCGGUAUAGAACUUGCCCGAGAUUCGAUCGUCGGUAUACCUAUACCUUGUUUAAUCUCGUUACCGGUAAGUCUCUUUACUCGUUUCGUAGCACGUCAUCGUGUGACUAACUCCUUAGUCACAUUGAGCUCAUGAUGGUGUUCUACCGAGUGGGCCCAGAGAUACCUCUCCGUCACACGGAGUGACAAAUCCCGAUCUUGAUUCGUACCAACCCAACAGAUACUUUCGGAGGUACACGUAGUGCACCUUUAUAGUCACCCAGUUACGUUGUGACGUUUGAUACNNNNNNNNNNNNNNNNNNNNNNNNNNNNNNNNNNNNNNNNNNNNNNNNNNNNNNNNNNNNNNNNNNNNNNNNNNNNNNNNNNNNNNNNNNNNNNNNNNNNCAAACGUCACAACGUAACUGGGUGACUAUAAAGGUGCACUACGGGUACCUCCGAAAGUAUCUGUUGGGUUGGUACGAAUCGAGAUCGGGAUUUGUCACUCCGUGUGACGGAGAGGUAUCUCUAGGCCCACUCGGUAGAACACCAUCAUGAGCUCAAUGUGACUAAAGAGUUAGUCACACGAUGACGUGCUACGGAACGAGUAAAGAGACUUACCGGUAACGAGAUUAAACAAGGUAUAGGUAUACCGACGAUCGAAUCUCGGGCAAGUUCUAUACCGACAGACAAAGGGACUCGUAUACGGGAUUGAUUGAACUCUUGACAUCGUGGUUCAUCCGAUGAGAUCAUCGUGGAGCAAGUGGGAGCCACCAUGGGUAUCCAGACCCCGCUGAUGGUUAUUGGCCAGAGAGGUGUCUCGGUCAUGUCUGCCUGUCUCCCGAACCCGUAGGGUCUACACACUUAAGGUUCGAUGACGCUAGGGUUAUAGGGAAUUGUUAUACGAGGUUACCAAAAGUUGUUCGGAGUCCCGGAUGAGAUCCCGGACGUCACGAGGAGCUCCGGAAUGGUCCGUAGGUAAAGAUUGAUAUAUAGGACGGAUGGUUUCGGAUACCGAAAGUUUUUCGGGCAUCACCGGUAACGUACCGGGACCACCGGGACCACCGGAGGUGGCCCCGGGGGACCACCGAAGGGGGGCAACGACCCCAAAAGGCUAGAUGGGCCAAGUGCGGGAGGGAACCAGCCCCUAGGUGGGCUGGUGCGCCUCCCACACCCAGCCCAAUGCGCAAGUGGUGGAUGAGAGGGGGCAACCGUAGGCACAGGUGGGCCUUAGGCCCACCAGGUGGUGCGCCACCCCCUCCCACCCCCCCCCCCCCCCCCCCCCUCCCCCCCUUGGGNNNNNNNNNNNNNNNNNNNNNNNNNNNNNNNNNNNNNNNNNNNNNNNNNNNNNNNNNNNNNNNNNNNNNNNNNNNNNNNNNNNNNNNNNNNNNNNNNNNNNNNNNNNNNNNNNNNNNNNNNNNNNNNNNNNNNNNNNNNNNNNNNNNCGCAGCCCUCCUCUUCUUCCUCCUCCUCUCCGCCGGUGCUUGGCGAAGCCCUGCCGGGAGACCUCGUCUCUCCAUCGACACCACGCCGUCGUGUUUCUGGAGUUCUUCCCCAACCUCUCCCUCCUCCUUGCUGGAUCAAGGUGCGGGAGACGUCACCGGGCUGCACGUGUGUUGAACGCGGAGGUGCCGUUGUUCGGCACUAGAUCGGAAUCACACCGAGUACGACUCCAUCAACCGCGUUCUAGCAACGCUUCCGCUUAGCGAUCUUCAAAGGUAUGAAGAUGCUCUUACCCCUCUCUCGUUGCUGGUCUCUCCAUAGAAGAUCUGAAUAUGCGUAGAAAUUUUUUGAAUUUAUGCUAUGUUACCCAACAGGUGCCGCACCCCCUAGGGUGGGAACCCUAGGGGUGGCACCCCCUCUCCCCUCCCCCUAUAUAUAUCGGGCACUUUUGGCCAUUGAGACACACGGUUUUUCCCUCUCUCUCGGUGCAGCCCUGCUCUUCUUCCUCCUCCUCUCUGCCGGUGCUUGGCGAAGCCCUGCCGAGAGACCUCGUCUCUCCAUCGCCACCACACCGUCGUGUUGCUGGAGUUCUUCCCCAACCUCUCCCUCCUCCUUGCUGGAUCAAGGUGCAGGAGACGUCACCGGGCUGCACGUGUGUUGAACGCGGAGGUGCCGUUGUUCGGCACUAGAUCGGAAUCGCUGCGAGUACGACUCCAUCAACCGCGUUCUAGCAACGCUUCNNNNNNNNNNNNNNNNNNNNNNNNNNNNNNNNNNNNNNNNNNNNNNNNNNNNNNNNNNNNNNNNNNNNNNNNNNNNNNNNNNNNNNNNNNNNNNNNNNNNAUUAUCGUUGAUCAAGAGGUUAUUCAGUAGGGUCUCAGCUUGUUCUAUAGUUCGUUCCCUAAAAACACAACCGGCACAACUAUCGAGGUAGUCUCUAGAGGCAUCGGUAAGUCCAUUAUAGAGGAUAUCAAGUAUCUCGUUCUUCUUAAGAGGGUGAUCAGGCAAAGCAUUCUGUAGCUGGACGAGCCUCCCCCAAGCUUGUGGAAGACUCUCUUCUUGGAGUUGAGCAAAGUUGUAUAUUUGCUGCAAGGCAGCUUGCUUCUUUUGGGCAGGGAAAUAUUUCUCACAGAAGUAAUAGACCAUCUCCUGGGGACUACGCACACAUCCAGGAGCAAGAGAGGUGAACCAGGCUUUAGCGUCAUCCUUUAGAGAGAAAGGAAAUAGCUUAAGGAUAUAGUAGUGGCGAAUCUUCUCCUCAUUAGUGAAGAGGUUGGCUAUUUCGGAUAGUUUGGCAAGAUGGGCUAUGACCGUCUCAGACUCAUAAACGUGAAAAGGAUCAGAUUCGACUAGAGAGAUUAUCUCAGGGUCGACACAGAAUUCAUAAUCCUUAUCGGUGACAAAGAUAGGCGAAGUGGCAAACUUCGGGUCAUUUUUCAUCCUAGCUUCCCGAGAUUUUUCCUUCCACUUGAGAAGUAAUUUCUCAGCGUCAUAGGCAUCCUUACACGCAAGAAAAUCCUUAGCUAUCUCUCCCUCCAUAACAUAACCCUCAGGUAUAACAUGCAAUUCAUAUCUAGGAGAGCUAGAUCUAACAGGAGCAAAAGCAGGUUCUAUCUCAAUAGUAUCGGCAGUAUCAGAGGCAUCACGAGCAUUGGCAGUAACUCUAGCAAUAUGAGCAUCAAGGAACACUCCUAGUGGAACAUCAGGCAAAGGAGUAUCUCUAGCAGUAUCAAGCAUAGCAUCAUCAGGCAAAAUAGCAUCUCUAGGAUCAUCAGACAAAGCAGUAUCAGGCAUAGUAUCAUGAGGCAUAGGCGACAUAUCAAGAUUUAUAGCAGGAGGUGAUGUCGCAAACUUACUCAUAACCGAAGGUGAAUCAAGUGCAGAGCUAGAUGGCAAUUGCUUACCUCCCCUCGUAGUUGAGGGCAAGACUUUGGUCUUCGGAUCCUUCCGAUUCUUCAUAGUGAUCAGUAGAUAUAAAUCCCAAGUGACUCAGAGAAUAUAGCAAUACCUCCCCGGCAACGGCGCCAGAAAAAUGUUGAUCGUGCAAUCUCUGGCGUUAGCUAGACGAAUGCUUAUAACAACANNNNNNNNNNNNNNNNNNNNNNNNNNNNNNNNNNNNNNNNNNNNNNNNNNNNNNNNNNNNNNNNNNNNNNNNNNNNNNNNNNNNNNNNNNNNNNNNNNNNAUAUCAUCCAAACAAAUCACCGACCCAUUGCCUACGAGUUUGUCCUACUGUUGUUACUUGUCUUGCUCUGCUGCUACUACUGUUUCUACUGCUGUUACUUGUCUUGCUCUGCUGCUACUACGGUUGCUACUGAUGUUACUUGUCUUUCUCUGCUGCUGCUACUACUAUCGCUUGCUACUGUUGCUACUUGCUACUGCUGUCGCUACUGUUGUUCCUUGCCACUGCUAUUGCUCGUUAUACUGCCGUUACUCGCUACUUUGCUGUUACUACUGUGCUUGCAGAUACUAAUUUUUCAGGUGUGGUUGAAUCUGACAAAUUCAGCUGCUAAUACUUGGGAGUAUACUCUCACCUCCCGUCGUGCAAACCAACAAAUUGGGUCGAAUACUCUACCCUCGAAAACGGUUGCGAACCCACGCGCUGAUGGGCCGUCAACAACAUUCUUCUAGUUUCAUUACUGGGGAGUGCUAUCAGCAUUCUUCUGGUGCCGUUGCAGGAGAAGGUUUGUUGUUAUAAGCAUUCGUCUAGCUAACGCCAGAGAUUGCACGAUCAGCGAGCUUGCCCGAGUCCAGGUUCCGAUACCAGUACUUGGCCAAACGCAUGGCCAUGUAAGCCCCAACCCGCGCGGCAGAGGCGCGCUAGGCAUCCAUGCGUUCUCCGCCUACUGCAAGCCAGCGGGCGAGCCGACUCAUUGACGCCGGCUCCACGCCUUCCGGCCACAAAGCCGCCACCAUCGACGAGCCUGCGACCUGGAGCUGAGCCACAUACUCGCCCAGGGCGCGCAGGCGGGCCUGAAGGCCCACCCCAAUCUCCUCCACGCUCCAGCCGGAGGUAGUGUCUACCUCCUGCCCAGCCGCGCGGCGCUCCUCGCGGCUCACCUCGACGGCUGUGGCGGCCGCGAUCUGGGUCGCAGGAAAGAGACCUGGAAUAGCGACAGCCAGAACGCAAGAGCACAGUGAGAAGAGGAGACGGCCAAAAAGACCAAAAACAAUACAAAGAAAAGAGACUCGCGAUGGAAGGCGCCAUUGGUCUCAUGGGAGCUCUCGAGGACCUCAAGCUCCCGCACCUUACUCGCGUGAGUAAGGUGGAAAACCUCCUCCUCGAGAGUCGCCGUAGACUCCAAGGCCUUGGCCAGCUGCGAUUGCUUCUGGACAAGGGCCUCCUCCUUCUCCCUCAAGGCGGCGUUGCUACCUCAAAAAGAUCCCCGACAACGGUGCCGGAAAUACUUCUGAUUGUUCUGCUGUGUAUCCCUUGCAACGGCGCCAGGAAUUAGUUGUGUCGACGGCACCAGGAAUCCUUCAGCUACGGCUACGCCUUAAGGGACUUCCAAGGCAAGUAUGCAAAGGAUUUCCCUCGUGACCUUGGAGCCUUGCGUUGGUGUUCCCUCGAAGCGGAAAGGGUGAUGUAGCACAACGAUGGUAAGUAUUUCCCUCAGUUUGAGAACCAAGGUAUCAAUCCAGCGGAAGAGUAUCUCAAGAUCCUGCACAAACACAAAAGCUUGCACCCAACGCUAUGAAGGGGUUGUAAAUCCCUUAUAGAUUGUUUGCCAAGUGAGAACUGAAAGCAACAAAGUAACAAAGCAAAGUAAAAGCGGAGAUGUAAACGAUGGAUGUGAAUAGACCCGGGGGUCUUAGUCUUUACUAGUGGCUUCUCUCAUAAAAGCAAGUAGACGGCGGGUGAACAAAUUACUGUCGAGCAAUUGAUAGAACUGUGCAGAGUUGUGACGAUAUCUAUGCAAUGAUUAUUUCUAUAGGCAUCACGUCCAAAACAAAUAGACCAAUACUUUCUGCAUCUACUACUAUUACUCCACACGUCGACCGCUAUCCACCAUGCAUCUAGUGGAUUAAGUCCAUAAGAACAGAGUACCGCCUUAAGCAAGAUGACAUGAUGUAGAGGGAUAAUCUCAAACCAAUGAUAAAUCCCCCAUCUUUUUACCCUUGAUGGCAACUGCUUGAUGUGUGCCUUGCUUCCCCUACUGUCACUGGGAAAGGUCACCACAUGGCAGAACCCAAAACCAAGCACUUCUCCCAUUGCAAGAAUCAUAGAUCUAGUUGGGCAAACAAAACCCAAGACUCAGAGAGACUUACAAGGAUAUCAAAUCAUGCAUAUAAGAAAUCAGCAAAGACUCAAAUAUAUAUCAUAGAUAAUCUGAUCACAAAUCCACAAUUCAUCGGAUCUCGACAAACACACCGCCAAAGAAGAUUACAUCGGAUAGAUAUCCAUGAAGAUCAUGGAGAACUUUGUAUUGAAGAUCCAAGAUAGAGAAGAAGCCAUCUAGCUACUAACUACGGACCCGUAGGUCUGAAGUGAACUACUCACGAGUCAUUGCAGGGGCGAUGAUAAUGAAGAAGAAGCCCUCCACCUCCAAAGUCCCCUCCGGCAGGGUGCCGGGAAGGGUCUCCAGAUGAGAUCUCGCGAAAACGGAAGCUUGCAGCGGCGGACAAGUUUUUUCGAGGCUCUCCUGAUUUUUUGCGGAAUAUUUGGGAAUAUAUAGGCGCAAGAUCGAGGUCGGGGGGCGGCCAGGGUGGCCACAAGCUUGCCCACCGCCGCCUCCCCCUGGUGGCGUGGUGGGAGCUUGUGGGCUCCCUGGGGCCCACCUGGCUUGGCCCAAAGGCUCCCUGGUCUUCUUUCGUUCGGGAAAAAAUCAUUUCGGGGUUUUUAUUCCGUUUGGACUCCGUUCCAAAAUCAGAUCUGAAAAGAGUCAAAAACACGGAAAAAACAGGAACUGGCACUUGGCACCGAAUUAAUAAGUUAGUCCCAAAAAGAUAUAAAAAGGUACAUAAAACAUUAACUAGGCAUAUCAAUGAGCUGUGGAGAUGCUCAUCAAUAGAUAUCAAUGUGAAUGAGUAGGGAUUGCCAUACAAAUGAUGCACUAGAGCUAAGAGUAAGUGAUAUCUCUUAAAGAAAACUAGUGGGUGUGCAUCCAACUUGCUUGCUCACGAAGACCUAAGGCAAUUUUGAGGAAACCUAUCAUUUGAAUAUACAAGCCAAGUUAUAUAAUGAGAAUUUCCCACUAGCUAUAUGGUGGUGACAAAACGAGAGACUCUCAAUCAUGAAGAUCAUGGUGCUCAAUAUGCACAAGUGUGGAAAAAGUGGUAGCAUUGUCCCUUCUCUCUUUUUCUCUCAUUUAUUAUUAUUAUUUUGGUGGGCUCUUUGGCCUUUUUUAUGGGCUUCUUUGGCCUCUUUUAUUUCCUCACAUGGGACAAUGCUCCAAUAAUGAUGAUCAUCACACUUUCAACUCAAAACUUAGAGCAAUUAUGACUCUGUAUGGAAUGCCUUCGGUAGUGUACCGUGGCAAUGAUCUAGCAUGGCAUAGACAUCAAUGGAAACAUCAUGCUAGCUAUCUUACGAUCAUGCAAAGGCAAUGUAGACGUGGUGGCACAUAUCAUGGUGGUAGUUGCAUGGCAAUAUAUCUCGGAAUGACUUUGAAAAAGCCAUAGUAGGUAGGUAUGGUGGCUGUUUUGAGGGAGGCUAAUGGUGGGUUUUGUGCACCGGCGAAAGUUGCACGGCACUAAGAAGAUAGUGAUGGUGGAAGGUGAAAGUACAUCUAAACCAUGGAUUCAACAUUAGUCAUGAAGAACUCAUAUACUUGUUGCAAAGGUUUUAUUAGUAAUCGAAACAAAGCAUUCAACGCAUACUACUAGGGGAAGGGUUGGUAGGUAUAAACCAUCGCGCGAUCCCGACCGCCACGCAAAGGAUGACAAUCAAUAUACUAAUCAUGCUCAGAUUUCAUCACAUAGCGGUUCACCAUACGUGCAUGCUAUGGGAAUCACUAACUUCAAAACAAGUAUUUCUAGAUCCACAACACCUUACUAGCAUGACUUCAAUAUUACCAUAACCACAACUCAAAACUAAUUGAGAUGAAUCAAACUUCUCUAACUAUUCAAUGCACAUGAAGGUGGAAGUUUUCGUAUCCCUUUGGAUAACUACCCCUUUUGAGACUACUUUCAAAGCAUAGAUCAACUACCAAGCCACGCACGAUUAUGCUCUAAAAGAUAUAAGUGAAGCACAUAGAGCAAAAGUAUCUAGCUCAAAAGAUAUAAGUGAAGCACAUGUGAGCUGAAUUGUCUACCAAAAGAUAUAAGUGAAGCUCGACAAAAUCACGGUGUGUGCAUGUCUCUCUCUCUAGGUGUGCAGCAAGGAUGAUUGUGACACAACAAAAAUAAAAGACUCCUACGAUACAAGACGCUCCAAGCAAAAACACAUAACAUGUGGUGAAUAAAAAUAUAGCCCCAAGUAACGUUACCGAUGGAUUGAAGACGAGAGAGGGGAUGCCUUCCCGGGGCAUCCCCAAGCUUAGGCUUUUAUGGCAUCCUUGAAUCUCUUGGGGUGCCUUGGGCAUCCCCAAGCUUGAGCUCUUGCCACACUUUAUCUUUUUGUCCAUAAGAACUUCACCCAAAACUUGAAACUUCACAACACGAAACUUAAACAGAAACUCGUGAUAACAUUAGUACAAGAAAGCAAACCACCACUUCCUUAGAUACUGUAGCAAACUUAAAUUCUACUUGUGCUGAUGUUGGGUUACUGUACUUUCAAUCUUCCAUGGCUAAUACCCCCUGAUGGGGUCAUAGUCCCAGGGUAGGGUCAUAGGCCUGCCUAUAGGUCCUACCCAAGGACUACCCUUCAUAGAGGACAAGGCCCUUAGACAGUUCCGACUGAACUAAGGACUCCCCCAUCAUCCAGUCGGUGACGAGCAUUCGGAGCGUGUUUAACGUACCGACUGAAUUCCACUAUGUACAUCGUAACCUCCCAGGAGGGCAACGGUCAUACGUUUUCAUACACCAUUAUUAGCAUUUAAGGCAUACAUUACCUGUAACGUAGGCAUUUAUUCGCCACUAUUCCACCCCUGUCCACCGGGCUGUUGUGGAGGGUAGCGCACUCUAUAUAAGCCGCCUUUCCCCACUAGUGCAGGGGUUGGCAUUUACUGUAAUCCUAUAUUCCACUCGACACUAAGCUCCCAAGAGCACUGAGACGUAGGGCUUUUACCUCCACCGUAGAGGGGCCUGAACUCAUACAUCCUCGCCGUAGCUAAGGCUCUGCCCAUCCUUUCGUACCCUACACAUCUACUGUCAGACUUAUACCCACGACAGUUGGCGCCCACCAUGGGGCCGGCGUCUAAGCGACUUCCGGCGAGUUUGCGACUUCAUUUUUUUAUCAUGUCGUCCGGCGGUGAUUUGUGCAUGGGUCAUGAGAUCCUCUUCGGCGCACUCUCCUUCAUCGUCGAUGAUUCGGCAUGGCUUCGGGAUGCGCCCCUCGAUGUCGAGGCGCUCCCCAGUCGCGGGGCUACGCACUUCCGUGCCGAUUCCCGCGGCAUCCUUCUUCCUCAGCAAUCGGCCCUGGUGUCGAUCUUCGCCCCCGUCACGCGCCGCAACAAGCGAUCCCGCCGUCCACGGCUGCAGCAUUGGGUGCGACAUGCCCAGGCGCGAGAGAACGCGUCCUCUCAAGUGGCGGUCCUCGAGUCUGUUGUGGUCGCGCCGCCAUCCCAGUGCUUGGACUCAGUUCCGACUGAGUUACCUUCCGAGUACUUGGGUCGCGGGCCUGCAGCCGAAGUUCUCAUGGCUGAUUCCCAUGAAAGUCCCCUCCGAACUGGUCGGAACGAGUAUGAGGUCGACGAAUCAUCCGGCGCUUGUCGUCAACACCGCCGCUCUGCCAGUCGGCGCACCCUCCAGAGCAACGUCGAGGUGUUCCGCACACCCGUCCUCAACCAGGCUGCCGUUGCCAAGAUAGCCGAUUCCCUCCAACCGACUAAUUCAGAGGCUGGUAGAGGGAUCGAGCAGAUCCGUGCCGUGUUGCACACGGCACAGCAGCAGAAUUCGGCGGUCUCCCAGUCGCACAACAGGAUCCACAACAGUUCUGUUCACGCGAACACGCAUCGGUCGGUUUUCAGCCCCGACUCUCAUCAGCGACACAGAGGGAGCAGCCGUUCCAUGAAUCCCGAAGAUCGUCGUCGUUCAAGCACCCCUCCGCGGGGUGGGCCUUACGGGCCCCGACAUCACGAUGAUCGGCGUUCAGUCGGUGACAUGUCUGAUCCAAGGCCCAACGCAAGAGGGUACAUCGCCCAUAGGAAGGUCGACAGGAGUCGAGCCCACCGUGAUGGUCAUGAUAGAGACCGUCCGAGUGGAAGCAGGACCAUCGUCUCUGGUCCCGAGUGCUUUAGUCGGGCCAUCCGUUCAGCUGACAUCCCUCCCAACUUCCGAUUGGCGACGGGGAUCAGCAAGUUCACAGGAGAGUCCAAGCGAGAAACGUGGCUGGACGACUACCGAGUGGCGGUCCAGAUCGGUGGCGGAGAUGACCAGGUCGCCAUGAAACAUCUCCCCCUGAUGCUCGACGGCUCGGCACGAGCGUGGCUGAACCAGUUGGCUCCGUCAAGCAUCUACAGCUGGGCAGAUCUGUCCCGAGUCUUCAUCAGGACCUUCGAGGGCACGUGCAAACGCCCUGCUGGUCUCGUGGAGCUCCAGCACUGUGUCCAGAAGCAGAAUGAACCCCUGCGUGAUUUCAUCCAGCGCUGGACGACCCUCUACCACACGGUGGAGAACGUUACAGAGCACCAAGCAGUCUGCGCCUUCAAGGCAGGCGUGCGGUACAGAGAUCUGUACCUGAAGUUCGGUCGGACAGGCGACAUCUACAUGAGCAAGAUGAUGGAGAUAGCCGCACGCUAUGCAAAUGGCGAAGAAGAGGACCACAUACGUAGCGGAAAGCAUAAGGCAGUCACCGAUGGAGAUGGGAACAGCAAUCGGAAGCAGAAGCAGAAAGCUCCGUCCACUCCGCAGGCAGAGGCAGCAGCCGUUACCAAUGUGAAGUUCAAGGGCAAGGGGAAAGCCCAAUACACCCCCAAGAAGAAAUAGUUCGGGAAUUCCAUCCUGGAUCAGCCAUGUCCAAUCCACACGAAGAUGGACGAAGAAGGCAACGCCAUAUUCCCGAAGCACACCACUCGGCAAUGUCGCCUCCUGAUCCAAGGGUUCGGCCAAGGGCAGCCGAGCGAAAAGGACAACGAGCAGGAUGAUGAGGACAAGGAGGAUCCGUUCCCCAAGUCCAUGCAACAUUGAUGAUUUUUGCUGACGUGGAAAGCAAGAGUCGAUUGAAGCUGGUGAACAGGGAGGUGAACAUGGCAACCCCAACCAACCCCACGUUCCUCAAAUGGUCUCAGACUGCGAUCACCUUUGAUUAGUCGGACCAUCCAGCACAUGUACCCACCCCAGGGAGGCAAGCUCUGGUCGUCGACCCGGUGGUGGAAGGAGUCCGACUGCGCAAAGUCCUCAUGGACGGCGGCAGCGGCUUGAACAUCAUGUACGCCGACACUCUCAAGGGGAUGGGCAUUCUGAUGUACAAACUUAGCGAGAGCAGCAUGCAGUUCCACGGAGUCGUCCCAGGACGAAAGGCCAAGUCACUCGGCCAGAUCGCGUUGGACGUCGUUUUCGGCUCCGACAAGAACUUCCGCAAGGAAAGGCUGACAUUCGAGGUGGUGGACUUCCAAAGUGCAUACCAUGCGAUUCUGGGCCGUCCGGCGUAUGCGCGUUUCAUGGCCCGUCCAUGUUACGUGUAUUUGAAGCUGAAGAUGCCGGGUCCUAAAGGUGUGAUCACGGUCAUAGGCAAUCGGCAGCGGGCCAAGGAGUGUCUGCAGCAGGGGUCGAGGAUUGCCGACCAGCAGAUGGCUAUCCUCGAGCUGGAUGAGUACAAGAAGACAGCCGACCCCGCUGACAUGAUGCGUUCGAAGAAGCCAGCUUCGGAGUCUGCAUUCAAGUCGACGGGAGACACGAAGAAAGUCAGCAUCCACCCGAUGGACGACGCCGCUGCCCCGACGAACAUCUCCACCACCCUUGAUCCAAAAUAGGAAGCCGAGCUCAUCCAAUUCCUCCGUGAGAACUGGGACAUUUUUGCAUGGAAGCCCGCUGACAUGCCAGGUGUACCCAGGGAGUUGGCUGAGCACUGACUGCAUGUGGAUCCUGCUGCUCGGCCCGUCCGAGAACGUCUGCGUCGGUCCGCCGCGCACAAAAGGAAGGCAAUCGGAGAGGAGGUGGCUAAACUUUUGGCAGCCAACUUCAUUUGCGAGGUACACCACUUCGAGAGGCUCGCCAAUGUUGUCAUGGUGCCCAAGAAGGACAAGUCUCUCCGUAUGUGCAUCGACUUCAAGCAUCUCAAUAAGGUCUGCCCGAAAGAUCAUUUCUCGCUCCCCCGCACUGAUGAAAUUGUUGAUUCGACUGCGGGUUGCGAGCGUUUAUCAUUCCUUGAUGCCUAUUCGGGCUAUCAUCAGAUCCGUCUGUAUGGUCCGGACGAAUUAAAAACAGCCUUCAUCACCCCAUUCGGGUGUAUCUGCUACAUCACUAUGCCAUUCGGUUUGAAGAAUGCAGGAGCAACUUUUAUGCGCAUGAUCCAAAAAUGCCUCCUUGACCAGAUCGGUCGAAAUGUGGAGGCAUAUAUGGACGAUAUCGUAGUCAAGUCACCCAAAGGUUCCGACCUGCUGACUGACUUGGCAGAAACAUUCGCCAACCUACGUAGGUAUGAUAUCAAGCUCAACCCAGCCAAGUGAUCAUUCGGCGUUCCCAGCGGGAAGUUACUUGGUUUCUUCAUUUCCGAACGAGGGAUCGAUGUCAACCCCGAAAAGAUCGGGACCAUCGUCCGAAUGGAACGGCCGGUCAGAAUACAUGAUGUUCAAAGGCUCACAGGUUGCCUAGCGGCUUUGAGCAGGUUUAUCGCUCGACUCGGCGAGAAGGCGUUACCUAUGUACCGACUCAUGAAGAAAUCAGAUACCUUCGAGUGGACAGACGAAGCCCAAAUUGCAUUCGACGACCUCAAAGCCCUGCUUUCCACCCAACCGGUUCUUACUGCCCCGCUCAGUAAAGAACCCCUUCUUUUGUACAUCGCGGCUACAAAUCAAGUCGUCAGCACCGUUCUGACAGUCGAACGCGAAGAAGAAGGCAAAGCGUUCAAGGUUCAACGGCCAGUAUAUUAUGUCUCUGAAGUCCUGACUCCUUCCAAGCAGAGGUAUCCCCAUUAUGAAAAGCUUAUUUAUGGGAUCUACAUGACUGCAAAGAAGGUGGCUCAUUAUUUCCAUGACCACUCGGUGUCUGUCAUUUCUGAUGCUCCGUUGUCGGAAAUCCUCCACAAUCGGGACGCAUCAGGUCGAGUGGCGAAGUGGGCAAUGGAGAUGUUAUACUGCGAUAUCAAGUUCGAAGCCAAGAAGGCUAUAAAGUCUCAAGCUCUGGCUGACUUCAUAGAAGAAUGGGUAGAACAACAGCAACCGACUCACAUCUACUCGGCUCAUUGGACCAUGUUUUUCGAUGGGUCCAAGAUGUUGAAUGGCUCCGGCGCUGGCGUAGUAAUCAUAUCGCCAAAAGGUGAUAAACUCAAGUAUGUGUUGCAGAUACAUUUCGAUUCUUCCAACAAUGAGGCAGAGUACGAAGCUCUCCUUUAUGGAUUGCGCAUGGCCAUCACACUCGGCGUCCGUCGCCUGAUGGUCUAUGGCGAUUCAGAUCUGGUGGUUAAUCAAGUGAUGAAGGAAUGGGACGUAAGGAACCCCACCAUGACCGCAUACUGCAACGCAAUAAGGAAGCUCGAGAAGAAGUUUGAAGGUCUGGAACUUCACCAUGUUCCCCAACUGAAAAACCAAGCAGCUAAUGAGUUGGCAAAACUCGGAUCCACUCGGAGACCAGUCCCGAGUGAUGUCUGCCUCGAGCACCUACAUCUCCCUUCGGUGAAAGAAGAUCCUUUUAUAGAGGAACCGGUACAACCGAAGAGUUCAACAGAUCCGACUGAAGUCGAGGUCCCCGCUGUGGUUGAUUUGAUUAUGGAGAUUCUUGACGUUGUCCCCGAAUGGACUGUGCCGUUCAUUGCGUACACCCUGAGGCAAGAAUUACCAGAAGACGAAGUCCAAGCUAGGCAGAUCGUCCGCAGGUCGAAGUCCUUCACCGUCAUUGAUGGACAGUUGUACAAGGAAAGUGUUUCAGGCGUCCUUCAGCGGUGCAUCUCCCCUGAGGAGGGACAGUUAAUCCUGGAAGAAAUUCACUCGGGAACUUGCGGCCAUCAUGCCUCCUCAAGAGCAAUCGUCACCAAAGCAUUCAGAGCUGGUUUCUUCUGGUUGCACGCGAAUGAAAUGGCAAAAGAUAUGGUCGACCGAUGUGAAGGCUGUCAGUUCUAUUCGAACAAGUCCCACAAGCCAACAUCUGCGCUGAAGACAAUCCCUCUUGUUUGGCCGUUCGCCAUGUGGGGGUUAGAUACAGUCAGACCAUUCAGAACAGGCCAAGGGGGAUUCACUCAUCUGUUGGUAGCAGUCGACAAGUUUACCAAGUGGAUUGAAGCCAAGCCCAUCAAGAAGCUCGACGCCCUUACGACCAUCAAAUUUGUCAGAGACAUCAUCGCCAGAUUCGGGGUUCCGCACAGCAUAAUCACCGACAAUGGCACAAACUUUGACUUGGACAGAUUCAAAGGUUUUUGCACAGGCCAAGGUAUCCGAGUGGAUUUUUCAUCUGUGGCGCACCCCCAAACAAACGGGCAAGCAGAGCGAGCGAAUGGACUUAUUCUUCAAGGGUUGAAGCCUCGACUCCUGCGAGAAGUUGGACAUGCCGCCGGCGCAUGGGUCACCGAGCUGCCUUCGGUGUUGUGGGGCCUCCGCACAACUCCAAAUAGAUCUAUAGGGCGAUCCCCGUUCUUCCUCGUUUAUGGAGCCGAGGCAGUCCUUCCGAGUGAUUUGCUUCACAACUCCCCACGAGUCGAACUCUUCUCCGAAGCCGAAGCAGAGCAAGCCAGGAAAGACAGAGUAGAUCUUCUAGAAGAAGAGCGCGAGAUGGCACUGACUCGCUCAACAAUUUAUCAACAAGAUCUGCGGCGAUUUCACUCGCGACACGUCAGGAGUCGUACAUUCCAAGCAGGCGACCUGGUGCUCCGAGUGGAUCAGUAGAGACCUCACAAGUUAGCUCCCGCCUGGGAAGGACCCUUCAUCAUCUCUAAGGUGCUGAACAACAGAGCGUAUCGACUCUACAACCUUGACAGAGAAACGGACGAGCCGUGAGCAUGGAAUGGAGAUCUCCUGAAGCGCUUCUACACGUGACCACCGACGGGGACAAUGUAAAGAACAAGUAUCAUUAAAGUAAUACAGAGCAAAUCGAUUUCUUGGAGGUUCAAAAAAUUUCCACGUUUGCAGACUCCGGUCUAAAAACUCACUCCGAGUGCACACCAAAAGCCGCACUCGGGGACUUAGCUACGACCCAGAAUCGCCUAAGUAAAAACUCGCUCCGAGUGCGCACCAAAAGCCGCACUCGGGGACUUAGCUGCGACCCAGAAUCGCCUAAGUAAAACCUCGCUCCGAGUGCGCACCAAAAGCCGCACUCGGGGACUUAGCUGCGACCCAGAAUCGCCUAAGUAAAACCUCGCUCCGAGUGCGCACCAAAAGCCGCACUCGGGGACUUAGCUGCGACCCAGAAUCGCCUAAGUAAAAACUCGCUCCGAGUGCGCACCAAAAGCCGCACUCGGGGACUUAGCUGCGACCCAGAAUCGCCUAAGUACAAACUCGCUCCGAGUGCGCACUAAAUCCGCACUCGGAGACUUAACUGCGAUCCAGAAUCGCCUAAGUAAAAAAGCUUCCUUUGAGUGUAUCCUCGAGAUCCACUCGGAGGCUUAGCAGACCCUCAUUGAGGCUCAUGUGGAUGUGAAGACAACUGACAACUACAUGAGUAAAAACUCGCUCCGAGUGCGCACCAAAAGCCGCACUCGGGGACUUAGCUGCGACCCAGAAUCGCCUAAGUAAAAACUCGCUCCGAGUGCGCACCAAAAGCCGCACUCGGGGACUUAGCUGCGACCCAGAAUCGACUAAGUACAAACUCGCUCCGAGUGCGCACUAAAAGAUGCACUCGGAGACUUAGCUGCGAUCCAGAAUCGCCUAAGUAAAAAGCUUCCUUCGAGUGUUUCCUCGAGAUCCACUCGGAGGCUUAGCAGACCCUCAUUAAGGCUCAUGUGGAUGUGAAGACAACUGACAACUACAUGAGUAAAAACUCACUCCAAGUGCGCACCAAAACCUGCACUCGGGGACUUAGCUGCGACCCAGAAUCGCCUAAGUAAAAACUCGCUCCGAGUGCACACAAAAGCCGCACUCGGGGACUUAGCUGCGACCCAGAAUCGCCUAAGUACAAACUCGCUCCGAGUGCGCACUAAAAGAUGCACUCGGAGACUUAGCUGCGAUCCAGAAUCGCCUAAGUAAAAAGCUUCCUUCGAGUGUUUCCUCGAGAUCCACUCGGAGGCUUAGCAGACCCUCAUUAAGGCUCAUGUGGAUGUGAAGACAACUGACAACUACAUGAGUAAAAACUCGCUCCGAGUGCGCACCAAAAGCCGCACUCGGGGACUUAGCUGCGACCCAAAAUCGCCUAAGUAUAAACUCGCUCCGAGUGUGCACUAAAAGCUGCACUCAGAGACUUAGCUGCGAUCCAGAAUCGCGUAAGUAAAAAAGCUUCCUUCGAGUGUAUCCUCGAGAUCCACUCGGAGGCUUAGCAGACCCUCAUUGAGGCUCAUGUGGAUGUGAAGACAACUGAAAACUACAUGAGUAACAACUCGCUCCGAGUGCGAGCUUACAGCCGCACUCGGGGACUUAGCUGCGACCCAGAAUCACCUAAGUACAAACUCGCUCCGAGUGCGAGCUUACAGCCGCACUCGGAGACUUAGCUGCGACCCAGAAUCGCCUAAGUACAAACUCGCUCCGAGUGCGCACUAAAAGCCUCACUCGGGGACUUAGCUGCGAUCCAGAAUCGCCUAAGUAUAAAGCUUCCUUCGAGUGUAUCCUCGAGAUCCACUCGGACGCUUAGCAGACCCUCAUUGAGGCUCAUGUGGAUGUGAAUACAACUGACAACUACAUGAGUAUCAACUCACUCCGAGUGCGCACGAAAAGUCACACUCGGAGACUUAGCUGCGACUUAGAGUCGCCUAAGUAAAAAAGCUCCCUCAUGUUUGCCAUUGGCUUCACCAAGAAACGCCAAACAAAAACAACGAGCCAAAAUCGUGUCAAAAAAAUGUUGGCGAAAGAAGAGCAAAAUAUUCGAUUCGAUUUCAAAGUUGGAUCUACGACCAGUCGGCUCGGUGUGGAUCAAGCUUAUCCACACCGAACCACGAAUGUGACGGCCAACAGCAGUGGCCAAAGUUUGAUACAGAUACCACUCGGCAUACCGAGGUAAAGUUUUUCAAGCGUCACCGGGACUGGCAGGCUCCACAAAGGUGUCAAGGUCGAUCCCGUCUGCGAUGCGAGUGGCUAUGUCGAGUAAGGUCUCCAUGAAAUCUUUGAAUCGAAGCUUCUUGGUGUUGGCGACCUGCAACGCCUUCGGCUUUUCUUCGCAAGCUUCCUUGCAAUGCACUCGGACCAGAGAUAGCGCCACGUCCGCACCACAACGAGCGGCAGACUUCUUCCAUGCCUGCACUCUGUUCGGGACGUUCUCCAGCCGAGUCAUCAACCCUUCUAUUUCUUGCCGGGAAUCGUCUUCGGGCCACAGCUCCUUGUCGAUCCGGCCGAUGACUUCUCUCACGCGGCCAAUGAAAGGUCCCACUCUGCCAAGGCGAAUAUGCGUUCGGAGCAAGUCCCGAUUGGCUUCGUUGCCGAGUGGAACGUUCGCAACAAUCGACAGUUCAAUGUCGGCUGCUUCAGCCUCAGCGUCCAGACAAAAAUCUGCCAAGAAAAGACAAGCAGAAAGUAAGCGCAGAAUAAACUCCAAAGUUAGGAAGCACUCGGCAAAAAGGCUUACCACCAAAUAGUGCAAUCAUCUUCCUUGCCCAGUCGUUGACGUACUUCUCCUGCGCCAUGCACCGAUUGUUCAUCAACUUCAGCUGACCCAUCCGUUCGAUUCUUUGACUCUUCAAUUUCUCAAUUUAGGCUACCAAUGCCUUGUUGGUCUCCCGGGACUCCUCCAAAGACUUCUCUCGGUCAGCAAGAGCCCCCUUCACACCAGCCAAGUCAUUCACAGCCGCCUCCAAGUCCGCAACAAGCUGAAUCUUUUCAGCCUUCAGAGCAUUGUACGCGGAUCCCAUUUCGCAAGUCUUCUGCCAAAUCAGCGCAAAGGGAAGAUCAGACACAUUCAACAAGGAAAACAAUCAAAGCUCAAAGUUCUUCAGACCCCUGCCGAUGCAAGCAAUCGACAACGGUCUCGGGGACUACACCCAGUGGGUUCACUAAGAGUGACCCCACUGGCAUGAAGCUCGAACAGGUCGGCCCUAUUGAGCUACAUGACAAACAGACAAAUCUAUGACACCAUUAUUACCCGACCGGAGUAACACUACUCUCGGGGACUACACCCAGUGGGUGCACUCGGAGUUCCCCCACUGGAACCAUUCGGGCAGAUCAACUGUGAUCCGCUCAGGUCACGGAAAAUGCAUCUAAAGACAACUGCGGGUGCAAGCACUCGACAGAAGUCUCGGGGACUACACCCACUGGGUUCACUCGGAGUGAACUCACUGCAAAAUCAUCCUACUAUAUCCGAGUCUAUCACUGAAACCCCCAGUGGGUGACAAGAGGAAAGUAAACACUUACUAGCGCACUUACUCGGAUAUCGUCCCAGAGCUCCAAGCUUCUCUUGUACAAAGGCGUGAUGGAGUCGUACGCUCCCUUGGCAUCACCCACCAUCAACUCCACCUGCACCAUGGCGUCCUUGGCGGCCCCCACCUGGUCUUCCGGGAGAUGUCGGGCGUCAUACUGAACGGUUGACGGACCCGGCGCGGCAGAAGACUCCUUGGGCAUCCCAAGCUCCGCUCCAGUCGGUUCCGCAGCGAGGAGCACCGUCUCAGUCGGCGGCAUCGUCUCGGUCGGCGGCACGUUCAUGGUGGGAGCAGCAGCAGAUGGGACAACCUCAAGGACAGGCGCUAAAGCUGGCCCUGACCCCCUUUGGUCGUCGUCCUCCAGAUGAAUCACCUCCGAAGGAAGCCCGACUGAACAACAUGAAAUUACAGAAAAAGGGCAAGAUUAAAGGCAACACUCGCGAAACAAUAAAUACAAACUCUCAGAGUCGUGACAACAUACCUUGCUGGGAUGUGGCAGCAUUAUCCGUGUCCAUGGGAUCAUCGUCCUGGUGCGGCUGAGAGGCAGCGGAGGUAGCAGCUCUGUUGAGUGAAAUCCACUCGACAGAUAAGCAUGAGUUCAAUCAGAUACUGAAGGAUGAUGGGAGAGCAAGACACUUAUGCUGAGGCGACUGGAACAGCGAUCCUCAUCCGAGGCAAAGCUUUCUGAGGCUUGGGCCUGCUAGGUUUGGCCACCUUGGACGGCUGGUCCGUGGGUUCGGCAGCAGCAUCCCUAGUCCUCUUCACACUCCGAGCUCUCGGAGCUAUGGGAGGGGCUGGCGGAGCACUCGGGGCCGCUGGAGGAGCCGGCAAAGCCGCGGGAUCGUGACGACGCUUAGUUCGAUGUUCUGAUGGUGGAGGUGGCGAGCUCUGCUCCCCAACCUCCUCCUCCUCCUCUUCGGUCUCCUCCUCCGUCUCCCCACUGUCAGAGACGUACUCGGCGCUGUCCAUGCUGCCCUCCUGGCUGCCCUCCUCUUCCUCAGCUGGAUUCCCGUUCGAGACGGCAGAAUGCCAGUUAGUCCACUCCUGCACAAGACACAGUCGGCAACGUCAGACACCAGGCGGCGGUACAAGAAAACCGAUAAAUCUAAGAAGAUUGAAAGCACUCGACAAGAUGCGCUCACCUCAUUCGGAGGAGGAUUGUCGGCGCGGAAGGGCCUCACUCGCCGGGCUCCUUCGGGGUUGUCGCAUGCGCCUGUGAUGCCGCAGACCCACGCUGUGACAGUCUCCCCGGUCACGCACUCUGGAUGAGUCCGAGUGGAAUCCUCAGGCCCCACGUAGUGCCACAUGGUGUGGUGUCGGGCUUGCAGCGGCUGGAUGCGCUGACCCAGAAAAGUCUCCAGCAAGUCCGUGCCGGUGACUCCCUUGCGGACGACGGCUAUCAAUGCGUCGACCAGAGGCUGGAUCUGGACCUUUUCCAUCUUUGAGAGCGCAAGAUGCCUGGGAGGGGUCGGACGGCCUAGGCUAAAAGGUGGCAGCCCAGUCACAACAUUCGGACAGGCGAUGUCCUGGCAGUAGAACCAAGUCGACUGCCAGUUCCUAACUGACUCGGACAACUGGAGAGGGGGGUAGCUACUUUUUGUUUUCUUCUGGAAGCCUAAGCCCCCGCAGAGUUGGAGGAGAUGGGUCUUAUCAUCUGACUGACUAAGCUUUUUGACAGUUUGGGACCUAGCGGAGAAGACAUACUUAAAGAGCCCCUAGUGGGGGGGGGGGGCAUCCAAUAAAGCACUCGCAAAGGGUGACGAAUGCGGCAAGGUGGGCUAUCGCGUUCGGAGGAAAAUGAUGGAGCUGCGCCCCGAAGUGAUUCAUAAUACCUCUGAAGAAGGGGUGGGGAGGCAGGGAGAAACCCCUGAACACGUGGCUGAGCAGCAGGACGCGCUCCCCCUCCUUCGGCGCCGGCUUCGUCUCGCCCUCCGUCGGCAGCCUCCAUGACUUGUUGGCGAUCAUGUCGUGCUCCACUAGCUCCAGCAAGUCGUCUGCCGUCACCGUGGAGGGGAGGAAAUCCCCCUGGAUCCAACUCACCGGCAGUGCCCGCUGUCGCCGCUGAGCAGGGGCCGCCCCCUUCUUCUUCUUCUUCUGCGCUUCGAGUUUGUUGGUCUGCCCCUUCAUCAUGGUGAAGGCAACAGAUUCGCAGAGGAGGAGAGGAAGGAGGAGGCUUGGGGCGCGCACGGAGCUGCAGGAGGAGCGAGGUUAAUGCGAGGAAGAAGAGCAGCACAACAAGAGAUCCCCGCCGGAAGGGCUUAAAUAAGCUUCCGACUGAGUCGCUAAUAGGUGGCCCAGAAAUCUUAUCCCCCCGACCGGCUGCUGCGAUGUUAGUGGAGAAGAUAACGACGCGGUAAUCGAGGCGGCAGAAACUACUCGAUGGCGAUGUCGUCAUCCCCGCUGAGCGCGCAGCAAC
rnacentral:lncRNA from 1 species